rnacentral:lncRNA from 1 species
UGAAAAGACGAAAAUGCCCUUAAACGGGAGUAAGGGGCGAAAAUUUAACAAUUGGGAUUGAGUUGGACACGUGGGAUCCCCACAUCCCUCAAAACCUUCCCCAAUUCCCGUACCUUGUCACUCUCUCUCUCCUCCCUCACGAAACUCUCAGUUUUCUCUCCCUCUCCUUCGAACUCACACGGACAAGCUCCAAAACCACCCUAAACUUCUACCAACGACAGAGUUAAGACCACCAUCAAACUCCUGGAACCUCCACGAUGGUAUCCAUUUCAGGUAAGUUUUGCUUCGGAAAACCCUAGUUUCAAAGUUCCCGUGAAAUGGUACUGUUCAUGAUCUUCUAAAUGACUACGUUUUAGGCUAAAACAAGAUCACAGCGAGCUUAGUGAGGUCCCAAGGAAGCUCGGAGUGCUUCGUUGGAAGUUUUUGGACGUAAGAACACGGAGAUCGACAAGUUCAAAGUUUGGCCGGAGCUUUCGAGGCUUUUUCCGGCGAAUCCCCGGCGAGUUAGGAGUCAAGGUAGGUAUCAAUCUCUUCGUCUCGUCAAGUACUACAACUUUCCUUUUUGUUUCACUCAAUUUCGUUGAGUAUUGAAGAAGUUAUACUCAUUUGAAAAAUACCCAGUUUCCGACGACCUCCGAGGCUUUCGAGGCAGUUUCCGGCCAAACCACGGCGAACUAGGUGUUGUACAAGGUACCAUUAUCUUUGUCUCUUCAAGGGCUACAACUUUCAUUUUUGAAUCACUUGAUUUCGUUGAGAAAUGACAAAGUUAUGGCAAUUUGAAAAACGGCCGCCGGAAAAACCAGUCCGGCGACCCAAGGAAGAAGAAGGUGCGCGUGGGGGCGCGUGCUACAGUAACAAAAUAUUUUAAAAAUAUGUCGACGUCCGUGACGGAGUAGAUCUCUGUGGUAUAUUCAUAUACCCAAUUUGAGCACCGUAUGAGAAAGUUAUUAAGGAUUGUUGGUUAGGUGUUCGAAUAACGUUUUAUAGUUUUGGUGAAAAUGUGAAUUGAUGAUCCGACCGUUGGAUCGUCACCAAAAUUUGAUACGUUGUAAUACGUAAUAUUUGAGGAUUAUAGGAACUUACAGAUUGGGAAUCCGAUUUGCGGAUCUUCCGAAAUUGGAGUUGUAAGUCCAUAAUAUAGAAUGUUAACUGUCACUUAGUUUUGGAAAUUGACGGAGAUCCAACCGUUGGAUGGUAAUGAAAUUUUAGGAUGUUAUCCUAGAGAUAUAUUGUGGACCUCUGGAAGUUAUGGAUUUAAAAUCUGAGUGGCAGAUCUUCCGGAUCGAACUACGUAGUGACGUAUUUUAUAUAAGUUAUAUAUUCUAUCGAUAUGAAUUCUGAGGUUGGAUUUGAUUACUAUUCUAGGCGGCGAUCGUCGUGACGCCUUGAUGUGUGGUGCUAGGGAGUUGUUGGACGAACUCCAGGUGAGUGGGCAGUUUUGUUUUCCGUAUACAUAUAUACUUGCCGUUUUCCCAGAAAUUGAAAAUGCAUGAAAUUAUGCUUUUAAUGAAAAUGUAUAAAAGUAUAUGAGAUAUAUUAGUUGAAAUGCCAUGCAUGAAAGUAUAUGAAAAGUAGAUAGAAAUGUGAAUCGAAUUGCCAUGCAUGAAAUGAUAUGGAAAGUAUGAAUUGAUAUAUGAUGCAUAUGUAUGAAUUGGUGCGGCGGACGCACAGGUGAGUAUCAGGUGAGUAUUUAAAUAUUGUUAUGAUGAUGUUGAUAUAUAUUGAGCUAAAUCCUGCACCAUGGUUUAGUGCUUAUAGUAUUCACCGCAUCGCACGCUCGCCUUGGAUCCAAGUAGAUGCUGGUCGCACAGUCCACGCGGAGUGGGUGCGACGGGCCAGUCGAAGAGUGUUAGUGAGAUUUCGACUGGUGGGUGACCUUAGAUUAUGUGCACAGAUGAUUGAUGAGAAAGCACUAGAGCGUAACUUGUGUGCAGAAGGCCGGACGGGUCACAGAGGUGACUCCGGUAGAGUGAUAGUGAUAGAUUUUGAGCUCUAGGUUCAACCGUACAGGGCUAUUAGAGGGCCUCCGGUUGAUUACUUUCUUGCACCUGAUAUGAUUAUUGUUGAUGCAUCCAUACUUAACUGUUGAAUUAGACAUGGCAUGGCAUGAUUGAUAAAGAAAAAAUGUUGAGUUAAUGAAUCGAAGUAUUGAGAAUAUAUAUGUAUAUUUAUAUUUUACAUUUCUGGGAAAGUAUACAGGUUUUACGGAGAGAGGUUACAACGUUUUGAGAAAUGUUUGGAUUUGGAAAGAAUUGUUUUACUGACCCACUCAAUUUUGGUUUUGCGCCCCUCCAGGUUAAAGAAUAGCUGAGGUGUGGUGGCUACGAGGAAUUCAACGGGGUUCUGACAGAAUGGAUCAAAUUAGGACUCACCUUCGGGUGUAUCAACUUAUAAAUUGUAUAAUUAAAGCUUCCGUACUGUGCAAAUGGUUACGUCACUCUCACGUGACGGCCAGCAUGCCCUCCUUCGGGACGGGGUGUGUCAGUUGGUAUCAGAGCAUGGUUGCAAUCUUGGACAUCUUGAGAAGUUCUAGUGAAUUCUGUCAGAACUACACCGCCUCGUAGCAAGCCACUUAGUUAGAGGAAUUUAGUCUCCCUAAUAUAGCGGUUUAGGGAAAACUAUUAUUAUGGUGAUUCAGUCUAUUAUAAAAAGGGACAUUUUAAGACGGGUUAUGAGUUGAAUUUGAAUCACCUUAUGAAAUGAUGAACCUGAGGGAGCGAAGUAACGGUUUAACCAUUUGGAAAAGAUGUUUCAGAUUAUGCAAGUCAAAGGAAUCUUCCUUCUGACAGGGGGUCGAGACGAUUACCUGGUUUUGGGUAUGAAUUUGUAUCCUGGUGGAAACAGGAGUAUGAUUUGUUGUCACCGGAGGAACAGCCGAUUUAAAAUUGUUUAAGGACUUGUUUAAGGAAAAGUUUAUCCCUCCGGCAUUUAUCGAUGAUAGUAAGCAAGAGUUUGCAAAUGUGAAUCAAGGAAGUUGACGAUAAAUGGAUAUUAUAGAAAGUUUUCAGACUUGCCUCGUUCCAUCCAGAUAUUGUUGUUAAUUUGGUAGAGGUGUUAUGUUGUUUUAAGCUGGGUGGCAAAAGGGAAGUGGUAUUUUGGGUGACCAUUAUCCAUUGUAGUUCUUAUCAGGAGUAUGCGAGAUGCUGUUGAGCCUUGAGGACUCUAAGAACAUGAGCAACGAGAAUAAAGAAGAAUAAGAAAUGAAUGGGAAUCAAAAGAAGACGAUAAAGUUUAUGAUUCGUCAUAUCAAGGAUAUAGAAAGAUUCAGAGCUUCGAAAGAAGUGAAGCUAGAGUUAAUUCUUCCAGCUGAGGUUUUAAUGUCGCUGGUCAGAAUAAAAGUGAUGGAUAUACUGGUAAUCCCAGAUAUUUGAGACAAGGUGUCUCGAGUAAAGGAAAUGUACCUUGUGCAGCAGGUACAAAAAAUUAACACUUUGGGAAGUGUGAAAUUAAUGAAUGUGUUUAUGUGAACAGAGGGGACACAGAAUUGUGAAUCGUCCCUAGAAUCAGUUGUACUCAACAAUUUUCCAUGAUAUCAUAGUGUCGAUUCAGCAGAGUUAUGGACUUAGUAGUUUGGUCGGAUUGACCGUGAGUACAGAGAGAUUUGAUGAGUUAUAUGUUCAGCCGUACAGACCAUGAGAAGUGGAUUCGAUUGACACAUGAGAAAUUUGUGAGUUAUAGGCUCAGCCGUACCGACCACGCGGAGUGGAUCCGGCCGACGUAUUAUUGAGAUAAGAGUUGAAUCAACCGUAUUGGUCAUUCUAGUUGACUUCGGCUGAUAUAUUUCUUAUUAUGUAUGAUAUUACCUAGAGAGUGGUAAAUAAAUGUAGUUGAGACGAGUGUAUGUAUUUUGCAUUGAGUGACAAAAUAGUAAUGUUAUAUCUUUUUUAGUGGUUGCCUACUUAUCGAGACAACGAUGAUUUAUCAGUAUUGCGGGCUGCAGACCGUAAUAUUAAUAACUCAUUCGUGGAUUCGUUAAGCAAGCAAACCGGUAGGUUAUUUUAUGUUAGUGUUGUACUUAUUUAGAAUGUUCAGUAUUAAUAAAGUAUGUAUUGUGUCGGUUAAAUUAUUUCCAUUAGAUUGGUUGGUUAUAAUUGUGACUAAAUGGACUGUUAUGGGAAACCAGUCACUUUCCAUCGAUCUGGAUGACCAGAGAUUACUUUUGUAAGUAUGCAAAGUGGAUUGAGUCAGGCCGUUAUUUAUGCUGUGAGAGCAAAGAGAUUGUUUUCGAAAGGCUGUCAAAAAAAUACUUAGCUCAUGUGGUGCUAAAUGAUGUUGUUUGGAGUAGUGUGAAUAAUGUCGAAAGAGUUAGACUUUUCUUGAUGUCUUCCCUGAAAGUAUACCUGGAUUGUCUUCAAGCAGAGAUAUGAGGUUCAUUAUUGAUUUGUUGCCAGGUAUAAAUUUAUAUUGGAGAUCAGUUCAUGAUGAGUUAAGAAAAUUGGAAAUUUAGUUGAAAGAAUUGGUUGACAAAAGUUUCAUUCAACCUAGUACAACACUUUUGAGGAGCCCCAGUUUGUUGGUGAGGAAGAAAAUGGAUCUUGAGACUGUUCAUUGAUUAUAGACAAUGGAGUCGGGUAACGAUUGAGAACCGUUAUCCAUGGUGAUGUAUUGAUGUUUAUUUAACCAGCUCAGAAGUAAUGGCGAAGAUUCAAAGAUUGAAUUGAGAUCUGGUUACUACCAAUUGAAUAUUAUAAGUGACGUUGAUCAUAAGAUGGUUUUCUGGACUCGUUAUAGUCUUUAUGAAGUUUGGUGAUGCUAUAUGGAUACUCAUGCUGUUUUAUGAGUUGAUGGAUGAAGUAUUCCAAUAAUGCCUUGAUAAAUUGAUAUCAUUUUCAUUGAAGAUAUUCUGGCAUAUUCUGAGCCAGAGCAGAGCAUGUAAACGUAUUAAGUCGGUGAAACAAAGAUUGGAAGAAUGUCGAUUGUAUGCUAAGUUUAGCAAAUGCUAAAGUUAGAUGAAUCAGGUGGCAUUCUGAGAUUUGUUAUAUAUUCUUAAGGUAUUCAAGUGAAUCCUUAAAAGAUAGCAGAAAUUGAGGAAUUGGAACAACCACGAACUGUAAUUGAGAUUCAGAAUUUCUUAGCUUACCAGGCUAUCUUGGAUGGUUGUGAAAGAUUUUUCAGUCAUUGCUUUGUCAUUGACGAGACUGUUGAGAAAAGAGGUUAUGUAUGAGUGGGAAGGAAAUUGUGAGCAAAUGAUUCAACAACUGAAGUAUUUCCUCACUCAUGCACGUAUUUUAGUAAUCCCAGAGAAUAGUGGUAAUCAUAAAUUUUUAGUGCUGUUUCUUGAAUGGUAUUGGAUGCAUGUUGAUGCAAAUGUUAGGGUGAUUGCAUACGUUUCACGACAAAUGGAAUCUCAUGAGAUGAAUUACCCUACUGGUGAUUUGGAAGUCACGAUUACCAUCCUUGCUGUGAAGUUAUGGAGACAUUAUAUUUUAGUGAGAAUGCAAGAUUUUUUUUACGAAUCCAAAAAGUCUUCAAUAUCCAUUACUUGGAAGGAUUUUGAUAUGAGGCAGCGAAAGUGAAUUGUAUUGCUUAAUGAACAUGAUUGAACGAUCAGAGUGAUCAUAAAGUUUGUUCUAGCUGAAGCAUUUGGUGAGAAGACUACAGUAAGAUUAAUGUCUGGCACGUUUGCCAAGAGUAUCAUCUUGUGGAUUGAAACCAACGGAAGAAAAAUUAAGAAUGGAAGAUCGAGAAGAAGUUAUACUUGUUAAAUUUCAAGUUAGGCCUUUUGGUAAGGUCGUACUCGAGACUCAAAUGGUAUGUGAAUACAAGCAAACGAAAAGUAUGUGCCUAAUGCUGUGGGUUUAAAGCAAACAAUUUUGGACGAAGUACACUGUUCAGCUUCUGCAAUAUUCCGAAGGUAAUAAGGUUUAUCAUACCAUUCGACAUUUUUAUUGGUCAGCAGAUUGAGGCAGAAAGAAAUAAACCUUUGGAUUGAGACAGCUAUUUUCUGUUUCGAAACGGAAAUGGAAAGAGAAUUGGAUUACGGAACUGCUGAGUUUCUUAAGUAUGUUGGGUGUGCAGUUUCCGAAAUAACGCCAUAGGGUCCCUGAAGCGUGUCGUGUGAAUGAAAUGCUUCUGAAUAGAGAAAGAUUCGAUCAAGAAAGAGUUUUAGUAGACCCUGAGACUAUGGAUGAGUCUCCUCAAAGUAUUCAGGUGAUUAAGUUUAACCUGAAGGUAGCCAGGAAUGGCAAAAGAGACUAACAGAUGGAUAUGCCAUUAAUCGAGUGUGUAAGGUAAAUGGUUUGAUAUUUUUGGAAAUUUCACCAUGAACAUAAAUAGUAAGAUUCAGAAAGGGAGACAAGAUAAGUCUUGAACACAUCAGUCCGUUUUGAUCAUUAAAGGAAUCGACGAAGUUGCAUACAAGUUUGUGAUGCCUUCAGAAUUGGCUAAGGCACAUAAUGUAUUUUGUGUUCGAUGCGUUGUCACUAAGUGGCAGAGUCGUUACAUGGGACUUUGGUGCAACUAUUGAGAAUUAAGCCGGAUCUGAUUGGUGAGGAACCAAUGACGACUUUGGAUUGGAAAAAGAAGGUCCUGAGAAUUAAGACAGAGUAAGUAGUAAAAGCUUUGUGAAGGAAUCAUUCAGUAGAAAAUUAUGUGGGAGAAAGAGAAUCGGAUGAGACAGAUUUACCCGUAGCUAUUGUUGGAGUAUGGUUGAUUUAGUUGGUUGCUGGAAUUUCGGGGACGAAAUUCUAUAAGGAGGGAAGAUUGUCACAGCCCGUCCCGGAAUUUUAAUUCUGAGAACGUGAAAAGACGAAAAUGCCCUUAAACGGGAGUAAGGGGCGAAAAUUUAACAAUUGGGAUUGAGUUGGACACGUGGGAUCCCCACAUCCCUCAAAACCUUCCCCAAUUCCCGUACCUUGUCACUCUUUCUCUCCUCCCUCACGAAACUCUCAGUUUUCUCUCCCUCUCCUUCGAACUCACACGGACAAGCUCCAAAACCACCCUAAACUUCUACCAACGACAGAGUUAAGACCACCAUCAAACUCCUGGAACCUCCACGAUCACGAUGGUAUCCAUUUCAGGUAAGUUUUGCUUCGGAAAACCCUAGUUUCAAAGUUCCCGUGAAAUGGUACCGUUCAUGAUCUUCUAAAUGACUACGUUUUAGGCUAAAACAAGAUCACAGCGAGCUUAGUGAGGUCCCAAGGAAGCUCGGAGUGCUUCGUUGGAAGUUUUUGGACGUAAGAACACGGAGAUCGACAAGUUCAAAGUUUGGCCGGAGCUUUCGAGGCUUUUUCCGGCGAAUCCCCGGCGAGUUAGGAGUCGAGGUAGGUAUCAAUUUCUUCGUCUCGUCAAGUACUACAACUUUCCUUUUUGUUUCACUCAAUUUCGUUGAGUAUUGAAGAAGUUAUACUCAUUUGAAAAAUACCCAGUUUCCGGCGACCUCCGAGGCUUUCGAGGCAGUUUCCGGCCAAACCACGGCGAACUAGGUGUUGUGCAAGGUACCAUUUGAAGAAGUUAUACUUUUCAAGGGCUACAACUUUCGUUUUUGAAUCACUUGAUUUCGUUGAGAAAUGACAAAGUUAUGGCAAUUUGAAAAACGGCCGCCGGAAAAACCAGUCCGGCGACCCAAGGAAGAAGAAGGUGCGCGUGGGGGCGCGUAGGUCCGUGCCUUCCUUGGCGCAUGGGGGCGCGUGCUACAGUAAAAAAAUAUUUUAAAAAUAUGUCGACGUCCGUGACGUCGAGUAGACCUCUGUGGUAUAUUCAUAUACCCAAUUUGAGCACCGUAUGAGAAAGUUAUUAAGGAUUGUUGGUUAGGUGUUCGAAUAACGUUUUAUAGUUUUGGUGAAAAUGUGAAUUGAUGAUCCGACCGUUGGAUCGUCACCAAAAUUUGAUACGUUGUAAUACGUAAUAUUUGAGGAUUAUAGGAACUUACAGAUUGGGAAUCCGAUUUGCGGAUCUUCCGAAAUUGGAGUUGUAAGUCCAUAAUAUAGAAUGUUAACUGUCACUUAGUUUUGGAAAUUGACGGAGAUCCAACCGUUGGAUGGUAAUGAAAUUUUAGGAUGUUAUCCUAGAGAUAUAUUGUGGACCUCUGGAAGUUAUGGAUUUAAAAUCUGAGUGGCAGAUCUUCCGGAUCGAACUACGUAGUGACGUAUUUUAUAUAAGUUAUAUAUUCUAUCGAUAUGAAUUCUGAGGUUGGAUUUGAUUACUAUUCUAGGCGGCGAUCGUCGUGACGCCUUGAUGUGUGGUGCUAGGGAGUUGUUGGACGAACUCCAGGUGAGUGGGCAGUUUUGUUUUCCGUAUACAUAUAUACUUGCCGUUUUCCCAGAAAUUGAAAAUGCAUGAAAUUAUGCUUUUAAUGAAAAUGUAUAAAAGUAUAUGAGAUAUAUUAGUUGAAAUGCCAUGCAUGAAAGUAUAUGAAAAGUAGAUAGAAAUGUGAAUCGAAUUGCCAUGCAUGAAAUGAUAUGGAAAGUAUGAAUUGAUAUAUGAUGCAUAUGUAUGAAUUGGUGCGGCGGACGCACAGGUGAGUAUCAGGUGAGUAUUUAAAUAUUGUUAUGAUGAUGUUGAUAUAUAUUGAGCUCAAAUCCUGCACCAUGGUUAGUGCUUAUAGUAUUCACCGCAUCGCACGCUCGCCUUGGAUCCAAGUAGAUGCUGGUCGCACAGUCCACGCGGAGUGGGUGCGACGGGCCAGUCGAAGAGUGUUAGUGAGAUUUCGACUGGUGGGUGACCUUAGAUUAUGUGCACAGAUGAUUGAUGAGAAAGCACUAGAGCGUAACUUGUGUGCAGAAGGCCGGACGGGUCACAGAGGUGACUCCGGUAGAGUGAUAGUGAUAGAUUUUGAGCUCUAGGUUCAACCGUACAGGGCUAUUAGAGGGCCUCCGGUUGAUUACUUUCUUGCACCUGAUAUGAUUAUUGUUGAUGCAUCCAUACUUAACUGUUGAAUUAGACAUGGCAUGGCAUGAUUGAUAAAGAAAAAAUGUUAAGUUAAUGAAUCGAAGUAUUGAGAAUAUAUAUGUAUAUUUAUAUUUUACAUUUCUGGGAAAGUAUACAGGUUUUACGGAGAGGGGUUACAACGUUUUGAGAAAUGUUUGGAUUUGGAAAAGAAUUGUUUUACUGACCCACUCAAUUUUGGUUUUGCGCCCCUCCAGGUUAAAGAAUAGCUGAGGUGUGGUGGCUACGAGGAAUUCAACGGGGUUCUGACAGAAUGGAUCAAAUUAGGACUCACCUUCGGGUGUAUCAAUUUAUAAAUUGUAUAAUUAAAGCUUCCGUACUGUGCAAAUGGUUACGUCACUCUCACGUGACGGCCAGCAUGCCCUCCUUCGGGACGGGGUGUGUCAUUUUAGGUGUUUGGUGAACUAAAAAAAAAAAGCUUAUUUUGGAAGCUGUUGUGAGAAUAAGCUGAAAUCAAAGGAAAAGCUGAAAUUGCUAUUUGCAGCUUUGGAAAACUGGCUUUUUUUUAAAGCACACGGAGCUACAAUGCUCCUUUAAUGAAAAGACUCACUAUCAGACUGUUUUUUUUUCAAAAGCACUUUUACAAAAAAAUUUACCAAACACUCUGUUGAUUUAUUUUACAGCCGUUUAUUCUCACAGCAGUUUUUUUUCAAAGCAUAACAAUACCAAACUAGCCCUUAAUUUUUUAAUUCAAUGGAAUAUUGGGAUUGAAUUAUUUACAAAUAAUUAACAUUAUAUAUUGUUUAGAGAAUGGUUAUUUAGCAAUUAAGCAUGAUUUUAUUUGAUUUUGCAUGAUGCGGGCUUUGAGUUUUAGCAACGUGUUUCACGGGCUUUGAGCUUUAAAGAAAACCUCAGUUAGUUCACUAUCUUGAGGACUCUCCCAGACUCAGACUGAAUCUUCUCUCCUCAAUCCUCCCUCUCGUAUCUCGAUCUCUCUCUUCCAGAGUCCAGGCUGACUCUCAUCCCUUUCGAUUCUUGGUUUUUCUGUCGAACUCGAAGGGACGAACGACAAAGUCAAUCUCUCUCUCUGUUGAACUUGAGGGGACGAACGAUGAAGUCGAACAACUUGAAACGAUGAAUCAGUCAUGUCCUCCAUCUGACUCAGACUCAUAUUUGCAGGGAAUCCGAGCUCUGUUGACGGUCAUUUUCAGUUUCGAGGUAUUAUGUUUUAGGGAUUUUGUUGGUUUCUUGAAUCUUGACCUCUGUUCUGUUUCAAUUUCAGAUCUUUUGUUGAAUUGAAUUUGAAUCUUCUGUUGGGUAUUAUUGAGAUUAUAUUUGGUUGAUUAGUGGAAUGUGUUGGUAUAUGGUCCAGCCCAUGAUGAAUGUUCUAGAUUAUUCUAGUAAGCAAGUGAGGUGGCUGGAGCAUGCUAGACAAUUCUAGCAUGUUAUUAAGUUGAUGGAAGAAGUUAGAGAGUACUAGCUUCCUUAGUUGCAAAUGGAAAGAUCUAGAAGCUACAAUUUUGUUGCUAGUCUAUAAUUAUCUAUGCUAGAGGAUUGAAGAAUACAAUAGAAACUAGUAGAAUGCCAAACCCUCACCUAUAAAUAUGGGUGUGAUGUUGUAGUGAAGUAACCAAUUAAGAACCAAGUGUGAGUAGCAAAGGAUCAAGUCCAAAGCUAGAGUUCCACUCCAAGAGUGAGAGUAAAAGUGUUCCACUACACAUUGUGAGUGAAGUUUAGAGUGAUAGAAAGUGUGUGUCAUACUUUCUUGUAUCCAUCAAGCCUUGUCUUUGGCUUGGUAAGACUACUCUUGUUGUACUCAUAUUUUUCAUAUAGUGAAGAUUGAUCAUUUGUUUAGUGGACGUAGGCAUAAAUUGCCGAACCACAUAAAUUCUUGGUGUCCAUUUUCUACUUUACCUUGUGUUGAUGCACAAAACCGGAGGUCUUGGAACAACGUAAAUCCGACCGUGAAUUCUGCACAAACGCUCAAGAACACGAAGAACACAAAGAACACAAGGAUUUUAUCGUGGUUCACCCCAAUGUUUGGGCUACGUCCACACUGUAGUUGAUUCUGUUUCUCUGUAAUUGUAUGGAUACAAGUGUUUGGGGGAAGUCCCCCGGAGGAGAAAGAAGAGAAGGGAGAGGAGAGCCUCGGUAGUGUGAGGUCUCUCCUGAAUGUAAUGAUAGCUUCUCUUAGCCUUCUUAGGCUUGGCUCUUUUGCCUCCCUUAGAAUGAGGGGAGGAGUCCCCUUUUAUAGAAUAAGGGGCUCCUCCUCUUUUACAAAGUAUGGGCUUUAGUGUGAGGCCCAAAUACAAGGCCCAAGGCCCAAAUAUACGAGGCCCAAUAUAUGGUACCAACAGGAGUCCCCCAAGUCUUCAGUCAAGAGAGUCUUUUGGCUGGAGACUUCAAAUUCAGUCCAUGUGUGGGCCGAAGUGACUAGAUGUUGUCCAGAACCAGUGCUCAACAUGAAGCAACGCUUAACAUAAAGUAAUACUCAGCUAGAGGUAGCACACGUUACGAGGUUGCCCGGCCGGAGGUGAUGCCCGUUGCGAGGCUGCUUGGUUAGAGGCUUACGCUCGCGGUGAGAACUUGCUUGGUUAGAGGCUUAUGCUCGCAGCGAGAGGUUGCUCGGCUGGAGUCGAUGCUCAUUGCAAGGUUGCUUGGCUAGAGGCUUAUGCUCGCGGCGAAAGGUUGCUCGGCCGGAGUUGAUGCCCAUUGCCAGGUUGCUCAGUAAGAGGCUACGCUCGCAGCAAGGCGGCUCGACUCGUGGCAUUCCUGGUUGCAAGUACGUACUUUAUGUCAAUGUGCACUCAGUAUGAGUUGAUUCUCGACCUGACUAGGGUCUGUAAGUUGGGUCUGAUUUUGUAAGUGCCCAAAAUGAAUGGUGUCUGAGCCCAUGGGUGUCCAAGCAAAUGGAUGUCCUGGUUGGGUAAGAGAUCAAUGUUGAUCAGUAGAGCUGGUUGCUCGAUAAUUCCUGACAAUAAAUGACAGCAUAAGUCUGAUUGUAUAAAUCAAUAACGUGGUAUUAAUCAUGUAAUAUAAAAAAUAAUAAUCAUAUUAUUUAAUCAUGAGUCAUCAUGAUAUAGAAAUAAUAUAAUCAUUAUUUUAUAAUAAUUAUAAUCAUCAUGACGUAAAAAUAAUAAAAUAUUUAAAGGAAAAGAAUAUUAUCCCUGUGUUUUCGGUGGAGGCAUGGUGGAGACAUAGUGAUGAUAGCGGGACUAUCCCACUAAAUUUCUGUUCCCCACUUUCUUUUUUAUUCUUUUCUUUUUCUUUUUUUUUUCUUUUCUUUUCUUUUUCUUUUUCUUUCUUUUUCUUUUUUCUUUUUUUUUUCUUUUUCUUCUUUCUUUUCCUGGUGCUAUGGCCGACACCAGUGGGAUUUUUCCCACCAAACCUGUUCCACUUUCUCUUUUUACAGGUUUAGUGGAUGAUUGCUGCCUUCUAGUGGAUGACUCCAAUUGAGUUGAUUCUUUCUGUUUCCCACUCUCUCUGAGAAAAAAAAUCACAGUGCCUCUCUCUCUGACCGUCCCCCUACGGCCCUCCGGUUCGCCGCGCGAGUCACUCUUUAACUCGCUGACCCAGUCACUGAGCUCAGCUUCAUCCUCAAUCAGACUCUUCGAAGCUCCACCAACUCUUCGUAGGCACGUGGCAACUCGGACCCCGACCUAGUCCUGGAGCCCCGGAACGCCUCGUCGACGUCCUUGCUGUUGAGCAGGUUGAUCGCCAGCUUCAGUCCAUGCGCCACCAGCGACGAGAACAGGAAGAAGCUGAAGGAAACGGCCUCCCCUCCGCAGCCAUCUCCGCCAUUUCGGCCACCGCCUCCGCUGAUACUAUCUUCAUUCUAGAACAGUCCUGAUCCUCUGUACUCAGCCUCGUCGAGUACGUCACCCCGCCUCCUAUCUGAGAGCUCAACCUAGCGCGCGGUCGGAGCUGGCAGUGGACCUAAUGGUGCGGCGAACCUUGCCGUGCGCGUAGCGGCACUCGCUUCCGUGGCCACAGGUUUUGGCCUCACGCCUGAAAAAGGAGCAGAGGCUGGUCUUCCAUACUUCAUGCAGUUUUGGUGCUCAUGGAUUGCCCAACAUGUUGUGUUUGUGUAGUAGGGAGCCUCUGGAUUUGGAACCCAUCAGAACAGAAGAAUUGGAAAGCUGAUUUCCCUGAAAAGAGCCCAGAAAACCCAGUGUCGCAGCCCAGGUCGAAGCUGCUGUGGCGGCUGUGGAGGGUCGAGAGAGAAGAGGGUGGAGGUGGCGAGUUGGGCCUGGAGCUCCGGGAGCUUGGCCUGGUAUUAAGGCCCAUUUUGGAGCAACGGUACACAAUCUGCCCCUUUUUGUUCAGUCAGAUUUUGAAGUUUUGGAUGAGUGGGUUAGUGAUCUGAGCAUAUCUACGGCAAAGAUCUGAUGAAUUCCGAGGAUGAGAGAAAGGUAGAGUGUUUGUGGGUUUUUUUUCUGCGAGUGGUGCAGAUUCACGGUGGUGAAAAUGAAAAAUUGAGGAAGAGAACCGACAUAGCUUUUUGUGUCGUUUCCCACAGACGGCGCCAAAUGUUGAUGCACAAAACCGGAGGUCUUGGAACAACGUAAAUCCGACCUUGAAUUCUGCACAAACGCUCAAGAACACGAAGAACACAAGGAUUUUAUCGUGGUUCACCCCAAUGUUUGGGCUACGUCCACACUGUAGUUGAUUCUGUUUCUCUGUAAUUGUAUGGAUACAAGUGUUUGGGGGAAGUCCCCCGGAGGAGAAAGAAGAGAAGGGAGAGGAGAGCCUCGGUGGUGUGAGGUCUCUCCUGAAUGUAAUGAUAGCUUCUCUUAGCCUUCUUAGGCUUGGCUCUUUUGCCUCCCUUAGAAUGAGGGGAGGAGUCCCCUUUUAUAGAAUAAGGGGCUCCUCCUCUUUUACAAAGUAUGGGCUUUAGUGUGAGGCCUAAAUACAAGGCCCAAGGCCCAAAUAUACGAGGCCCAAUAUAUGGUACCAACACCUUGAGUAUUCUCUAUCUUGUAGUACCGAGAUUCCUAACAAGUGGUAUCAGAGCCCGGUUGGCUCGUACUACGAGAUGGAAGGAAGUGGCAUUAUAAUCAAACUCACCAACUCCAAUUGGGUAACAUGGAAGCCAAGGAUGGAGGACAUUCUCUAUUGCAAGGAUCUGCAUGAGCCAAUUGAAGGAGAUGCCGCUAAGCCCGAGAGCAUGUCCGAUGCCGAGUGGAAGAAGAUGAAUCACAAGGCUAUUGGCACAAUUAGACAAUGGGUGGACGAUAGUGUUUUUCACCAUGUAUCUAAUGAAACCAAUGCCCGCGAGUUUUGGACAAAGCUUGAGUCCUUGUUCGAGAAGAAGACCCCAGCCAAGAAAGCAUUCUUGAUCAAAGAGCUCAUCAAUGUGAAGUACAAGGAUGGUUUAAGUGUAGCAGAACACUUGAACAAAUUCCAAAAUGUCAUCAACCAGUUGGCUACUAUGAAAAUGACGAUUGAAGACGAGCUACAAGCGCUCUUGUUACUUGGAUCCUUGCCAGACAGUUGGGAGACCUUUGUGGUAAGUAUAAGUAACUCUGCUUCUAAUGGUGUUCUUACUCUUGAUAAUUUUAAAAAUAGCUUGCUCAAUGAAGAAACAAGGAGAAAGACUUUAGGCACAUAUAGCAGCUAAAUAUUUGUCACAGAGAACCGCGGAAGAAGCAAGAGUAGAGGGCCUAGAGGCCAUGGCAGGAGUACUAGCCGAUCCAAGUCAAGGUUCAGGGGUGCAUGCCACCAUUGUGGCAAAGAAUGCCAUAUGAAGAAAAAUUGUCGAGUUUGGAAGAGAGAGCAAAGGAAAGGAAACAAUCAGAAGAAAGAUGAUACUGGUAAUACCAUCGCUGUCAUAUGUGGUGAUGUACCAGAAAUAUUAUCUGUUGGUGAAUGUCUGCAUACGGGCAACUCUGAUAGAGACACUGAAUGGAUCUUUGACAAUGGAGCUUCCUUCCAUGCUACGUCCAAACGGGAGUUCUUUAGUACAUACAAAGAAUGUGACUUUGGCAUAGUGAGGAUGGGGAAUGAAAGUUAUUCCAAAAUACUUGGAAUUGGUGAUAUUUGCCUAAGAACUAAUCUCGGUUGCCAGUUGAUGUUGAAAUAUGUGAGACAUAUUCCUGAUAUACGUCUCAAUCUGAUAUCCAUCGGUACCCUUGAUCGACAAGGUUAUUAUCAUCAUAUUGGCGAAGGAAAAUUGAAGCUUACUAAAGGUUUAAUGGUGGUAGCAAGAGCACGACUUUGUUGUACAUUGUACCGGUCAAAUGCCAAAGUUUUAAAAGGUGAGUUGAAUGCUGUGGAGGACUUAUUUCUAGACUUGUGGUAUAAGAGGCUAGGCCACAUGAGUGAGAAAGGCCUACAAGUUUUGGCAAAGAAGUCUCACAUUCCAUUUACCAAAGGUACGUCAUUAAACUCUUGUGAGCAUUAUUUAUUCGGAAAGCAAAUAAGAAUUAUCUAAGUCCUUUGACAUGAAGGACUUAGGGCCAGCCAAGCAGAUUUUGGGCAUGGAGAUAAUUCGUGACAGAAAAUCCAAGAAGUUGUGGCUGUCACAAGAAAAGUAUGUUGAACGGGUGCUUGAAAGGUUCAACAUGAAAGCAGCCAAAUCGAUAAGCUCACCUUUAGCCAAUCAUAUCAAGUUGAGCAAAGAGUCGUGUCCAAAAACAUAUGAAGAAAAGGAGAAAAUGGCAGUUGUUCCCUAUUCUUCAGUAGUAGGAAGUAUCAUGUAUGCAAUGGUGUGCACACGACCAGAUAUUGCUCAUGCAGUAAGUGUGGUGAGCAGGUUUCUCUCUAAUCCAGGGAAGGACCACUAGGAAGCUGUUAAAUGGAUUCUUAGAUAUUUGAAGGGGACUUCUAAGAUGUGCUUGUGCUUUGGCGGUUCCAAACCAAUCUUGGAAGGAUUUACAGAUGCUGACAUGGGAGGUGACCUGGAUGGUAGAAAAUCUACGUCUAGGUACUUGUUUACUUUUGUAGGGGGAGCCGUGUCUUGGCAAUCCAAGUUACAAAAGUGUGUUGCUUUGUCCACAACCGAGGCUGAAUACAUAGCCGCUACAAAAGCAUGCAAGGAGUUGUUGUGGCUGAAGCGGUUUCUCCAAAAGUUGGGUUUGAAGCAAAGUGAUUAUGGCGUUUAUUGUGAUAGUCAGAGUGCUCUGGAUUUGAGCAAGAACACUACAUAUAAUUCACGCACUAAGCAUAUUGAUAUUCGUUAUCACUGGAUUAGAGAUGCUAUCGAGAACAAGUUACUACAGCUGAAGAAUAUUCAUACCGAUAAUAAUUCUUCAGACAUGUUGACAAAGGUAGUCACAAAAUCAAAGUUGGAAUUCUGCAUUAAGGCUGUUGGGAUGGACUCCAGGUAACUUGGAGUCAUGAUUGGAAUUCCUCCCUCAUGGACUGGAGGGGGAGAUUGUUGGUAUAUGGUCCAGCCCAUGAUGAAUGUUCUAGAUUAUUUUAGUAAGCAAGUGAGGUGGCUAGAGCAUGCUAGACAAUUCUAGCAUGUUAUUAAGUUGAUGGAAGAAGUUAAAGAGUACUAGCUUCCUUAGUUGCAAAUGGAAAGAUUUAGAAGCUACAAUUUUGUGGCUAGUCUAUAAUUAUCUAUGCUAGAGGUUUGAAGAAUACAAUAGAAACUAGUAGAAUGCCAAACCCUCACCUAUAAAUAUGGGUGUGAUGUUGUAGUGAAGUAACCAAUUAAGAACCAAGAUUGAGUAGCAAAGGAUCAAGUCCAAAGCUAGAGUUCCACUCCAAGAGUGAGAGUGAGAGUGUUCCACUACACAUUGUGAGUGAAGUUUAGAGUGAUAGAAAGUGUGUGUUAUACUUUCUUGUAUCCAUCAAGCCUUGUCUUUGGCUUGGUAAGACUAAUCUUGUUGUACUCAUAUUUUUCAUAUAGUGAAGAUUGAUCCUUGUUUAGUGGACGUAGGAAUAAAUUGCCGAACCACAUAAAUUUUUGGUGUCCAUAGUGAAGAUUGAUCCUUGUUUAGUGGACGUAGGCAUAAAUUGCCGAACCACAUAAAUUCUUGGUGUCCAUUUUCUACUUUACCUUGAGCAUUCUCUAUCUUGUAGUACAGACAUUCCUAACAGAAUGUUUCAUGCAAAUUGGAUUUGAAUCUUCUGUUGGCAAUUUAUGAAACAUGUAUUCUCCUCUCUGAGAACUGGGAGAAGGCUGCGAUUCCUACAAACGCCUUGUACUGACUUACAGUGGUAAUUGGACUUGUGAAAAAUAGGCCAAGUUAAGUCCAGUUCCAAAUCUCAGAAUUCAUAUACCUGCCCCAGCCUGCCUCGUUGCAUUUUAAAACGGGUCCGGUGUGGUCUCUAUAAAUUCAGGCAUGGACCGGUAGGAAAAACCAAGAUGGACAUUCAUCCAAGACAAAGGAAAAGCAACAAGAAAAUAAAGACAGUUAAGCUUGGAGUUUCCAUCAAAAUAUGCCAAAGGAAAGCGCGCAAAUCUGCACAGCCCUAGCUAUUUCCUUACCAUGAAAUCUAACCCUUCCACAUGCCACUUAUUUUCCUCCAAAAUAACAAAAGCAUGUGCAAACAUAUAAUAUUUUGCAUAUAUGUAGAUGUAGCUGCAAGUUAUACCGCCAUAGAUGUAGAUGUACCCAUAUUAUCAUAGAAAUAAAUAAAUAUUUAUUUUUUGCUUUGAAUUUUCUACAGGUCAAAAGGGGGAGGUGACUUGUGCAUAAUUCCUGCCUAAUGUAUUCUUAAUUUGGAAAUUGUCUCGCUCAAACCCAUAUCCUUUAUAAAACCCACAUUUAGAGAUAGAUCAUAUAUACAUACAAACCAAGAACAAUUUCCAAUCAAAAUAUAUGCUACAAAUGGCAAUUCCAAGGCUUCCCCAUAUCUUACAACUUUCAGUUCUUGUGCUUGAUAACAUAUGUAUCUCUAGCUAUUCAUAGCUAUGAAAAGGAAGAAAAGGAUUUGGAAGAAGAAAAGAAGAAAAGUAUUUGAGAAAUAGAAAGUAAUCUACUGAUUGCAUUGAAUGAAUGAAAUGUAUAUUGUUUACAAUGCUUUUAUAACCAUCCCACACUUUUACUUACGAAACUACCCUUUCUUAUCUCUAAGAUUCUAACUAACCACAACCAAUUACACCCAUCUCCAACCAUACAAUUCUGACAUGUCAGCUACCAUUGAAAUAUUGCCAUGUGUCACUUAUCAUCCCCCCUCAAUCUUGGCUAGGGUUCUAAGCCUAAGAUUGCAACAAUGUUUGAAAAACACUGGACUAUGUAAACCUUUGGUUAAAAUAUCAGCUGUCUGCUCCUCAGUGGGUACAUACUGAACCAGGAUGUUCUUCUGCUGAACUUUUUCCCGAACAAAGUAGAAAUCAGUAUCAAGGUGUUUGAUUCUGGUGUGAAAUACAAGAUUGGAACAGAGAGCAAUGGCAAACAAGUUAUCAUAGUGUAUAAAAGGAGGGUCAGGCAAAAACUUAUGCAAAUCCUUCAAUAGAUUCCGAAUCCAUGUAAUAUCAGCAGCACAAUGAGCAAGAGACUUAUACUCGGCUUCAAUUGAACUUCAGGAAACAGAAGCUUGCUUCUUAGACUGCCAUGAGAUUGGAUUAGAACCAAGAUAAACAACAAAACCAGUAACGGAUCUCUUGGUAUUAGGAUCAGCUGCCCAAUCAGAAUCUGAGAAGGCAACAAGAGACGGAUCACUGGAUGAUGAAUAAGUGAGUCCAUAUUCAAGCGAACUUUGCACAUAGCGUAAAAUCCUUUUGACCAGAUCAUAGUGCACUUCAGUGGGAGUAUGCAUAUAUUAACACGCAAUAUUAACAGCAUAUGCCAAAUCGGGUCGUGUGAAUGUAAGAUAUUGUAAGGCUCCGACUAUACUGUGAUAGAGUGUUGGAUCAGGUAAGGGAAUGCCCUCUGAAUCAAGAAACUGAGAAUGAGGUCGACAUGGUGUAUUCACAGAUUUGCAAUUAUCCAUGCUGGCCUUGUGAAGUAAAUCUUUGGCAUAUUUAGUUUGACUGAGAAAAAUAUCUCCAUUUGAUUUAUAUGUAAUCUGCAGUCCCAAAAAAUACGAUAAUCUGCCCAUAUCUUUGAGAUCAAACACAUCCCCCAAUUCUAUAACAACUGCUUGAAUCUUUGUUGUAUUAGAACCGGUUAGAAUGAUAUCAUCAACAUAAAGUAAUAAAGCAAUAACAUCCACACCAUCAUAUUUCACAAAUAGACUAGUAUUAGAUUGUGACAUGGUGAACCCCAUAGCAGGUAGAUAGCCAAUGAACUCGGCAUUCCAUGCUCGAGGUGCCUGUUUAAGGCCAUAGAGAGACUUAACCAACUUGCAAACGUGAUUAGGAUACUGAGGAUCAAUAAAUCCUUAUGGUUGGUGCAUAUAGACCUCUUCUUCCAAGUCACCAUGCAAAAAUGCAUUUUUAAUAUCAAGUUGUCUCAAUUCCCACUUGUGUUGGGCUGCAAAAGAAAGAAUGAGUCUCACCGUAGUAUGGUGAACUACAGGACUAAAAGUUUCAAAAUAAUCCAAACCAUGUUCCUGAGAAUACCUAUGAGCCACCAAACGCGCCUUAUAUCUUGAAAUCGAACCAUCUGGAUUCUUCUUUAGUUUGUACACCCACUUACUUCCAAUAACUGCCCUGUGAAUAGGUGGAGGCACUAAAUGCCAAGUUCCUUGACUUUGAAGGGCAUCAUACUCCUCUUGCAUUGCAUUUUGCAGGUGUGUGUUUGUUCCAGCAGUUCGAAAGGAUGUUGGUUCAGCACUAUCAGUAAUAUGAGCCAUAAGAGAAAAACCAUUGUGACAUGUAUCCAUAUCAUCCAGUCUCAAAGUGGACAAUUCAGGCAAAGAUGCAAUAUAACUAGAGUAGUCUUUUCUAGAAAUGGCACCAGUUUGCAACUUGGUUUGCAUCCUGUGAGGAGGAGGAUCACAGUGUGAGAUAUUAUCAAGAGUAGAUGGAUCAAAGGGAAGAAUUACCUCCAAUUGUGCAGGAUGAAUGACAGGUAACACAGAGGCUGUUUGUGGAGCUAGGAGAGUUGUUUCAGAUUGUGUAGAUGAUGUAGAGCUAUCAAAUGUAGUGCUGGAACCCUGAAAGUGUGACGGUACCACUGGAACAGGAAACUCAGAACCAGACAAUUGCACCUCAGUACUAGGAGACAUAGGCACAAUAUCAGAUAUGGUGAUAGCAGGUGAAGAAAGUACUGGAAGAACAAAUGGGGCAGAUGAUCUACGACUAUGAGCUUCCUGAGUAAAAGACAAACCCUGAGAUUGAUAUGUGAACAUUGCAAAAUUGAUCUUGCAAGGAAACACAUCCUCAUUGUGAAUAACAUGUCUAGAAAUAAUCAACUUUCUAGACUGUGGAUGAUAGCAUAUAACCCCUUUGUAUCCAUGUGUGUAGCCAAGAAAAACACAUAACACUGCUCUUGGUUGUAACUUGUUUUCAUUGUAUGGUUUAAUAUAUGGAUAGACUGCACUGCCAAAGACUUUCAACUCUUGCAGCCUAGGAGCAUCACCAAAUAAUAUCUGAUAUGGAGAAUUCAAAUGUAAAAUCUUACAUGGCAUCCUGUUGAUUAAAAAAACAGAAUGAGCACAUGCAUGAAACCACAACUCUUGAGACAAACCAGCAACUGUCAUGAGUGUUAUGGCUGUUUCUACAAUAUAUCUAUGUUUCCUCUCAGCAACUCCAUUUUGCUGAGGGGUAUAUGGACAAGAAACUUGAUGAAUAAUACCCUUUUGAGACAAAAAAAUUCUGAAAUCUCUUACUUAUAUACUCUUCUCCUUCAUCAGUUUGAAUGCACUUAAUACCAACAUUAAACUGAGUAUACAACACUAUAAAACUUGAGAAAGACAUCAAAGACUUCUGAUUUAUUAACUAAUGGGAAUAUCCAAACAUAUCUAGAAAAGUCAUGUACAAAACUGACAUAAUAUCGGAAACCUUCAAUGGAUUUUGUAGGUGAAGGCCCCCAAAGGUCAUAAUGAAUCUUUUGAAAGGGAAAUACAGAUUUUUUUUCUUAUCUACAAAAGGUAAUCGAGUCAUCUUUCCUGAAAUACAAAAAGAACACAUAUGUUAUGUAUCAUCUACACUACUAGUUAUCUGAGAGAGCUUCAACAUUGUAGACAACACUUCAUUGCUCGGAUGUCCACACCGUUGAUGCCAACUCACAUGCUUGACUUUCUGACCAAGUAAUCCAGUGAGCUUAUUCUGAGACUCCACUAUAGCAUCUGUAAUCAACCUGGUAAGAAUCUUAAACAACUUUCCAUCAUUGCUCCUUCCUUGGUACAGCACAGCCUUGGUUACCUUGUCAUGCACAAAGAAAUCAUUUUCAUCACAUAUGAACCAACAGGAAUUAUCUUUACAAAGUUGUUUAACUGAUAACAGAUUUACUUCAAUAGUAGGCACAUGUAACACAUUUCGCAGAAUUAAAGAUUGAGGUAAUGUGUGCAAUUUUGUAGAUCCAAUGUGACGAAUAGGCAAACCCCCUAUUGCCAAUUGUAAUUCGAUCAGUACCCUCGUAUGCAUUGACUUGCUGAAGAGCAUUCACAUCUGCAGUCAUGUGAUGUGAUGCACCUGUGUCCACAAUCCAAGAAUCACUGGGCAAGUAAGUUGGUUGGACUUAUGCUUGCAUGGCAGUGAGUGACUCUGAUGGUACACUGCCUUGAUAAGAAAAAUUGUUCCGAUGAUAGCAGUCCAAAGCAUUGUGACCCUUCUUCCCACAGAUCUGACAUUCAACUACUGUACCACUCGAGUUAGGAGUUGUAGACCUUUUCCAGCAAUUUGGAGUGGUAUGACCUCUUUUGAAGAAAAUCUGACACUCGGGGACAAUAUGUGACCUUGUUUCAGUGUUACCUGACCAAGAAUUCCAGUUGCCAUUAUUCUGCCUGUUACCAAAAGAUUGGCAUCUGCCAUGACUUGUAUGAUUCCCACCUUGUGAGGAUCAAAAAUUACCAUUCCCAUUACCAUUAUUAUUAGGCCUGAAAGACCGCGGACCACCAUUGGUAUUAGAAAACUGCCUUGGUGCAGCAACAUUUCCCACAAAACCAUAUGCAUUCGGAAACUCAGAAUAGCUCGAGAAAGAAGCUGAUGAGGAAGGAAACUGAUGGCCAGGAACUUGAGGAUACAGUAGUGGCAUAGUAGAAGAAGCCGGUAUUGAAACCGGUGUAAAUGGCAAAGAACCACUAUUUGAAACAGUUCCUUGGGAAAAACCAGAAGCUUGCAUUCCAAAUGAUGAAGACCCACUUGGCAUUUGAGUUAAAACACCGCCAGUUGUACAUGGAAUCCCACCAGAGUUACUAGAAGACCCCUGAGAUGAACCUUGUGAUGAUCCUUGCAUAUACAAACCCGUGAAAUUAUGAGGCAUAGUAGUCAAAAGAGACUCAGCUUCUCUUUCAGCACAUAACAACUGCUCACGAAAUUCUCUUAGUGUGAUAGAAGUAUCCCAAGUAAGAAUCAUUGUCCUGAUGGUAAAGUAUUCUCUAGGCAACCCAGAUAAAGCAGCCAAGACAAAGUCAUUAUCCGAAACAAUCUCUCCAGCAUUAAGUAAUUGUUCUUUAAUGACCUUAAGCUUUGACAAGAAUUGAUCUAUGGAAUCACCUCCUUUCUGCACAGUGUGAAACUCAGUCUUAAGAGUAUUAACUCUAGCCUUGGAAACUGAUGCAUACCUAUCUUGUAAGUUAAACCAAGCAUCAUGUGCAGUUCUGCAUCCAAUAACAUGCUCAAUUGCUUCAUCAGACAAGGUAGCAAGAAGUAAACUUAACAAUGCCAUAUCAACAGAUUCCCACUCCAAGAAAGCUUCAUUAAUUGUUGUAGUAACCCCAUUUUCCGGAUGAACAACAUAUUUUGAAUGACACACAGCAGAACCGUCAAAGUGAUCAAACAACUUAUACCCUUUCAAAACGGAUUUAAACUGAAAAGCCCAUUUAGAAAAAUUUCGAUCAUUCAAUUUAAUCAUCAACAUCCCCAAAAAUCCCUCAAUUUUCACACCAGGAACAGUCAUGAUUUACAGAUCAAAGGAUUGCACAGAGAUAACACCAAUUGAAAACCUAAGAAUUGCAGAACACCAGAGAAUGGCUUCGUAUUCAAGAACAACCAAAAAUAGCUUCGUGCCUCAAAACAAAUUUAACAAGAUUCACGACUUCAGCAAGAAAAAUGGCUUUGUGCCCUAACAAUCCAACAAGAAAAAUGGCUUUGUGCCUCAACAAUUCAUCAAUUCAACAAGAAAAUGGCUUCGUGCCCCAACAAUCCAUCAAUUCAACAAGAAAAUGUCUUCGUGCCCUAAAACUUCAACCAGAAAUUCACCAAAUGAAACAUAUCACCUGAGAUUGACAUGUAUUCAGAUCCAAAACUACAGAAUCUUCAGCUUUUCAUGCCCACAGCAGAUCGACGACUCUGAUACAUAUGUAUCUCCAGCUAUUCAUAGCUAUGAAAAGGAAGAAAAGGAUUCGGAAGAAGAAAAGAAGAAAAGUAUUUGAGAAAUAGAGAGUAAUCUACUGAUUGUAUUGAAUGAAUGAAAUGUAUAUUGUUUACAAUGCUUUUAUAACCAUCCCACACUUUUACUUACGAAACUAUCCUUUCUUAUCUCUAAGAUUCUAACUAACCACAACCAAUUACACCCAUCUCCAACCAUAUAAUUCUGACAUGUCAGCUACCAUUGAAAUACUGCCAUGUGUCACUUAUCAGUGCUCCUAUCUAUUUCAUGGGCAGUUUCAGCUGAUCAUGAGACCUUUGUUCAUUGCCUUCUAAACCAUUCCCAACCCUCUCACCCAAUUGCCCCAGCAAUUCACACUUCCAACAAUGCUUCCUACUCAUCCGUUUUGGAAUCUUACAUCUGAAACCUCCGAUUCAACACAUCUACAACCCAAAAACCCUUCCUCAUCCUCACUGCAUUGCAUGAGUCCCACGUGUAAAUAUCCGUUGUUUGUGCCCAAAUCCAUAACUUUCAAAUGAAGAUUAGAAGUGGAGGCCAUGAUUUUGAGGGUUUAUCAUACGUGGCUGAAUUUCCAUUCUUCAUCCUUUACAUGUUUAAUCUUCGAUCCAUCCACGUAGACAUCAAAUCCGAGACUGCAUGGGUCCAGGCUGGGGCUACUCUUGGUGAACUUUACUACAGAAUUGCUGAGAAAAGCAAAAUCCAUGGCUUUCCUGCUGGUGUUUGCCCUACAGUUGGUGUUGGAGGCCACUUCAGUGGCGGUGGAUAUGGUAAUAUGAUGGGAAAGUACGGCUUGUCAGUUGACAACAUAGUUGAUGCACAACUUGUAAAUGUGAAUGGUGAACUUCUCGACCGAAAAUCAAUGGGAGAAGACCUUUUUUGGGCCAUUACAGGAGGCGGAGGAGCCAGCUUUGGAGUUGUGAUCGCGUACAAACUUAAUCAUGUACGUGUUCCAGAAACAGUUACUGUUUUAAAGGUUCCGAGAACCCUAGAACAAAAUGCAACGGACAUUGUCUAUCGUUGGCAAUAUAUCGCGGAUAAGCUUGACAAUGACUUGUUCAUCAGGCUUAUCAUGGAUAUUGUAAAUGGUACUACUUCAAAUAGUAGUGGAGAAAACAAUAAGACUCUUAGGGCUUCAUUUAUUGCCAUGUUUCUCGGAGACUCUGAGAGGCUCCUCUCAAUCAUGGACAAGAGCUUCCCUGAAUUGGGUAUGAAGCAAUCUGAUUGCAAUGAAAUGAGCUGGGCUCAAUCUGUGCUUUUCUGGACGAGCUUCCCAACCGGGACAGCAACUGAAGCUUUGCUUUCAAGAACACCUCAAGUGCUUACACACUUCAAGAGAAAGUCAGACUAUGUCAAAAAACCAAUUCCAAAAACUGGUUUGAAGUGGAUUUUUUAGAAAAUGAUUGAGCUUGAGACACCAUUGUUGACCUUCAACCCCCCACGAAGGAAAAAUGAGUGAGAUAUCGGCGUCGGCAACUCCAUAUCCUCAUAGAGCUGGGAAUCUCUGGAUGGUUCAGUAUGCAACAAACUGGAACAUACAAGGGCCUGAGGCAUCAGAUCAUUAUAUUGAUCUGACAAGAAAACUCUACAUGUACUUGACUCCUUUUGUUUCCAAGAAUCCAAGGAAAUCCUUUUACAGCUACAAGGAUCUUGACAUUGGGAUCAACCAUAAUGCUAAUGGCAUUGCAAGCUAUUUGGAGGGGAGAGUUUUUGGCAUUAAGUACUUCAAGCAUAACUUUGAUAGGUUGGUGAAUGUGAAGACCAAGGUCGAUCCUGGUAAUUUCUUUAGAGCAAUUCCACCCAUGGAGCCCUUCCCCCUGGCAAUCCACUAUUCAAUCCACCCUAUUAAACAGUAACUGCCUUAAAUGAAUAGUAACUACUAUUAAUGAACAGUAAUUGCCAUUUACAUCUCCACCCUUGCAACCCUCCCCCUGGCAAUAAGCAAUUAAAAUAAUAGUUUUUUUUGUUUGUUUAAAUAAUAAAAAACCCCUCUCUCUCUCUGACACAAAAAAAAAAAACAAUUACAAAGCCCUCGGGCCACAGGCCCGUCGACUUCCCCCCCCCCUUCGCUCGGCCUCCCACCCUCACUCGGGCCCUUCCCCGCUGGAGCUGCUCCCACCGGCCCUCAGGCCCUUUCUCCUCCCCUAUCGCCCGAGCAACCAACAUCCGCUGGAGUUGCUCUUAGGAAUGAACAAAGUAUCCCACCACUUCCAUACAGUCAUUAUUUAGCUUCUUGUUGUGCAUGUUUUUUUUCUAUUGCUUUGGGGUUAGUUAUGUACAUCUUUAAUCAGCCAAAGAAAUAAAAAAAGAAGAAAGAUAUUGCUUACAAGAUUGCAAUUUGUUAGUACUUAAUUAUUACAAGUUUCAAGAAAAAUCUCUCCAAAAAUUGACAAAUUAGUAGGCUUUCUGGGAUUUCACUUUUCUAACUCUUGUUAAAAAAUUUACUUGUUUAUUUAAAGACAUUCCGUCAUUGAAAAUUUAGUAGGGACUAAUUGGCUUUUUCUACUUGCUUUGAUCAACAUGUUGUAGCAUGUCUCACAUUGGUAUCUUGAUUAAUUAUACAUACAACUUAUAUUGAACGAUUCUAUUACUAAUUACAUCAUGCCCCUUUGCAUAAAAUUUCACACAUAGUGAAUGACACAUGUGGUUAAGUUUGAGACAAUAGAGUUAUCUUCGUGUGCGUGGCCCACUAAAGAGGACAUGUUAAAGCAUGUCUAACAUCGUAAACAUGAGGGGGGGGGCACAAUGUCGUUGCAUGGGGAUGCGAUUCGCCAAGCUGAGCCAAACAAAACAGUCUGCCCACCCCCCCCCCCCCAAAAAAAAAACCACCGGAUUAGGAAUGCGAAGGCCUCCCCUUUUCUAUCACUUUGUUUGAGAAUUACAUACAACUGAUAUUGAUUAAAUUACAUACAAUUUAUAUUGAAUGAUUCCACUAUUAAUUAUAUUGACCUUUUUUAUGAGACUCAUACCUUUUAAAUUGCACAUUUUGUUAAGAAGACAAUAUUAAUAUAUGGAUCAUUUCUAUUUUCUUCUGUCUCUUGAUCUUGGGAUAAAUAGUAUACAUAGAGUAGUUUGGUUCAACUGAAGUGACACCGUGAUCAAUAUCGAUAUCUAAUCUACAAGGAAAUAUAUACGCAUCUAAAUUGGAUUCCUUUUUUUUUUUUUUUUUUUUUUUAGUUUGGUUCAACUGAAGUGACACCGUGAUCAAUAUCGAUAUCUAAUCUACAAGGAAAUAUAUACGCAUCUAAAUUGGAUCCUUUUUUUUUUUUUUUUUUUGGGGGGGUGAAAAAGAAAAAUCCCAGUUGGUUGGUAUGGCCUAUGGUCUUUUACUCCUAAAAUUUUGAAUUCUCCUUGUGCCAAAAAAUUUAAAAGUUGUCAGCGAUGCGGGAACUGUGGCCACUUACUUAUUCCCCAUCCAUCUCAACCCUUGCCAUAGAUUGAACCUCAAUUAUUUAACUCCCAACUCCUUUAAUAAUUUCGAGCCUGUGGCCCCAAACAUUUACCUCUACCUGGUGAACGGGUUCACCGUUCACGUGCUAAGCCACUAAUACAAUGUAUAUGCAUAUUUGUUUGAAAAUAAUUUGUAUUAGUGGUUUAAGACGUCAUGACGAUGAUAAACUUGUUUUAUGAAAGUUUCUCUCAUCAAUUAUCUCAUGUGAACCUCAUUUUUUUAUCAGAUUUUGUCAGUGGAGACCUUGCAAUUCACGUGUGUUGCUUUUAUUUGUAUAUAUUUAUAUGUAAAUUAUACAAAACUACUUCAAAUAUGUGUCGAACCACAAUCUCAUACUUAAUGUUUUAAACAUUACAAUGUCAUACCUUAUCUUACGAAUUCAUUGCCAUAUCAUACUUCCGUAAAAUUUUAUGUUAACUUUGAUUGUUAAAUGAUGAGAUGACACGUGCGGGACCUACAUACUCACCCAAUUGAAUUAAAAAAUUGAUUAAAUAUUAAUAACCAUUAAAAAAAAGAAAAUUAAUUAAAAUAGUUUGAAAACUUUAAUUUUAACGAUAAAAACAAAAUAAAUGGUAAAAUGAAUAGUAUCAAGAUUGACUUUUUACUGUAAAAAUAUAAUUUUUCGUUAAAAUAAACUGUACUGAGAACUUUAGGUUAAAGUUUAUUUAAAAAAAUUAUUAAACAAAUUGCGGGACCCACCUCCACCACCUACUUUAUCCCCACUCCAUACGUCCCCCUCCCUUUUUCCCUCUUUCUGUUCCAGAAACCCUCCCCCACCAUUUUUCCUCUGCAAUUCUCCCCCGCAGCCCCAACAACAAAACCCACCGCCAUUGUCUCUUCCUUGUCCUCGGGGAAACUCUCUUCCUCACUCACUCACUCAUUUCUUCUCUUCCACUCCUGCAACUCCCAAUUCACUCAUUACCAUUCCCGUCUUCGCCACUCUCUCUUCCCCUUUAGAAAACCCGCCUCUGGCCCAAGAUGGGCCCAACGGUUCUACUCGGAAGCCUAUUAGCCUUUCUUCGGGAAUGUACCAGUCGCCGGUGACAAUUGCGUUGUGGGAAGCGAGGUUGAAGAUCUUCGAGAGGUUCUUUCUGGACCCGCCCAAAGACGCGCCGUCACAUAACAGGACGAAGAUUCUCUACAGUGCAUUUGUUGGUGUUUCAAAAACGUCGUUGAUGGUGAGGAGGGAGCCUCAGCAAACUCCGGUUGGUGUUGCGAGAAAUUCCUCUGAUUCGGGCCGGGUUAGGUCGUUUGUUGUACCUUCUGCAUGCUCAGGUCUGCAAACUCCAGUUGGUGUUGCAGAUUCGGCAGAUCAGACCUGAAAUCGAACCGAAAAAAUGGUUCGCCUCGAGCCAGGUGCACGGGUCAAUGGAGGUGGAGUUCCAGGUGGUGAUCUUGUUGGAUGGUUAGAUGGCUUUGUUUCUCUGCAAGUGAGAAACAAAGCUAGGAGGUGUGCUGAGCAAUGGCGUGGUCAGAAAUUAUUCGACUGGUGGGCUAACCUAAUAUUAUUAGUCCGAAAUCAAAAUUUAAUCCUAUUUUUUCUACAUAAAGUUAUAUAAUAGUAAAAACUUGAAUGUAGUAAUUUGAAGCAAGAAAUUUAUGCUAUGUUUUAUAGGUUUCUAGCCUUCAAACUUUCCAUUGAAUAAAAUAAGGAACUAUUUGUGGUAUGAAAGUUUUAAUUUAUUACUAUUAAAUAUAAUAUUAGUUAAAGUGAUGAGUUUAUUUAACAUUUAUUAGUUCUUAUUAUUCUUAAAAACAACCUUAUUAAUAAUAAAAUUUCAUUUCCUAAAUGAAAUAUGACAAAUAAAAAUUAUAAACUAACUCAAAAAUUAAUAUUUUUAAGCUUGAAGAACCAAUUGUACUUGACUCCGCCCUUGGUGCUGAGGUUCGGCCAUGGCUGCCUUUUUUCAAGUGAGAGCAGAGAGAGAGUGAGGGAGACAAGUGAGAGGGGAGAGAAUAAUUGAGGAACAGAGUUCUUUUAUUUAAUUGUUAAAUAAAAAUAAUAAUUUAUUAUUAAUUAAUUGUUUUUUUUUUCUAGUUGGAAAAGGAUGGGUCCGUUCCUACUACAUCAUCAUUUAACAGUCAAUUGAUAGAAAAUUUAACAGAAGUUUGACAUUGUAACAAAUUUAUAAGUUGAGGUAUGACAUUGCAAUGUUUAAAACAUGAAGUAUGAAAUUGUGUAGUUCGACUCAUAAUUGAUGUAGUUUUGUGUAAUUUACCUUAUAUUUAUUUAUUUAUUAAUUUACCAUUAUUGAUCCAACAGUUGUGAUUUAAACCAUAGAACAUGAAGUACAAUUCCAACUGUGAUUAGCACCUAAUUAAAAUAUCGUAUAAAAAAUUUAAAAUAUAUAUAUAAAUUGAAGGAAAAAAAGAAAAAAACCCAAAAGUCCCCUUCGUCCCCAUCCCUUCUUCGCACCUGAACCCAUCCCCCAUCAGCCAUCAGCCAUCCCCUUCUCCCAUCCCCCAUCCCCCUCUCUCUUCCUAUACCCUCUCUUCCUGUACCCUCUCUUCUUACUCCCGUAUUCUCUCCCCCUUUCUCCUUUUCAAUUCACGAUGCAACAGCAGCCAAUUCUUUCUCUCUUCCUCUUUUCCUCUCUUCCUCUCUUUAUACCCAGUUGUGAAGGUGCUUGUAAUUUAAAGGAUGUUAAGUUGCUGACUCUUUUUUUGUAGAAGCUGCUGCUUUGAGAUUUGGCCUUUUCCAAGCCAAGCGUGCAUGUUACUCAGGGUUGGAGCCGCAGCUAAUCCACAACAAUGUGAAGUCGAGUAAUGUGCUGCUGGACCGCGGAGGCUAACUGAAAUCAAAGAAUCAGGUAGUAGUGAUUGUGAUUGAUGACGUGCCCAAGUAGGAGGAGCCGGAGAGCUACGGAUUUGCCUCUUUUGCUAUCGACCUCGAUGGUCACGACGGCUCCGAUGGCCUCUUCGAUUCGUCCCCAACGUUGGCGUCGUGGUCAACGACUACCUCUCGUUCUUUAAUUUGUUCAAACAUUAGAAACCACAAUUUCAGGGACAUCUGCAACACUAUCUUCAGUUAACAAACCCCUCGGGUGGAGAAGAAAACUUGGGAUGGGGUGGGUUUUUGGAUGGGAGGGGAGAUGAAGAGAGUGGAGGAGAUGGACGUGGGUCAGGGGAAUGGAUUUAUGGGUUCCAUUUUUUUUUUUUUUAAUUUUAAAUAGGAUAAAUUAUUGUAAUUUUUAAAUGCAUAAAAAAAUUCUUUUUUUACCACGUGACACACAUUUAGCAAUCACGUCAGCUCUUAACGGGCCAAUGGAUGGAAAAUGUAACGGUAACGGUUGUAUUAUAUUGAAAUAAAAUAGUAUUUGAGGUACGAAAGUGAAAUUUUUAAAGAUGUUGUAUAAGGUUGCAAUAGAUUUAAAACCGAAGGUGGUAAAGUGUAAUUUACCCUUUUUUUUCCAGUUCCUUUUCACUUCAUUUUCUCUGUCCGUUCAACACUAUCUCGCUUGCCGCCGUCAAUACAAUGGCGUCCUAAGUGGGAACCUACGUCGGGUGCCUUAUCGACAACCUGAGGUGGUAAUAUGAUUUCCGGAGCACAGUUGCCGUGUUAGCCUUCUAUUUGGAUCGCGAGAAUUUGGUAUCCAUUUUCUGGGAAUCUAAGAGAAGGCUUCAGUGGUGAGACUUUCAAACAUGAAUAUCUCAGUACGCUGAUACUGAUGGACCAAUCAUUUAAUUGAAAAGUCGAACAAGUGGUGUGAUAAUGUCGGCUCAUCAGGCGGUGGGUCGUCGUCGAUUUUUGUCAGUAAAACAGCUAAUAGAAUGUCCUCUCUCUCUUUCUCAGUCUCUCUAGCUAUUUCUCAUUCUCUCCGUCUAAGCUUCAACUUUCUAGAUUCGACGGGCGACAUAUUGUUGAAGGGUAGUAGCAAACCUUCCAUAAAUGCAGCAGCAUACCCGGUUUCGCAAGUUCGAAAGAUUUGAGGGGCAUAAUCCGGACUUUCAGUGGCGAUUUCAGACGAAUGAAGGGGCGGUCCCUCUGUAGCUUCGCCAAUGGGUGAUAGGUCUUGGCAGUCUGGAAGGUGGUGUGGUGGUUUGCGUUGGUUAAGGGUGGGGAUGGGUGUGUGCUUUGGAUGGUUGAAUCAUGGGAGGCAGAUGGGAAAAGCAGGGCAAUUUCGGUAGAGAAGUUUGAUUCCAGAUGUUGGCUUUCUUUCAGAAUUCAAUUACCACCUUCAAGUCAGUAUUUGGAUUCUGGGGAUAUUAGGAAUCCGAUUAUUGAUUUUGGAUGGAGCCUACUAAUUUUUUCAUUCCCAAAAUUUGGUCAAUGCCAGAAUCACUUGGAGAAAAAUUUCAUUCCCUUUCUUCUACCUCCAUUCCGAUUUGAUAAACGCGUGGUGAAGACCAUGUCAUCCAUUGGAGAUGCCCUAACAAAAUUAUUUUGUUAGAUGGACUAUGAAACUCAUGUUAAAAAAAAAAGGAAAAGAAAAAGACCAAUGCUAAACAAUCAUGGAAUCCAUUUUAUUUUUUCUUGAGACAAAACGAGGUCUCCAAGUCAAAGUAGACCAUGCCCCAAUAGGCUACAGAAUUUAGAUAAAUUAAGCAAAUCCACUCCUAGCUAAUUGUACACCAGGGGCUUCCUUUACAAUACAUCAAAUCAAUAAUAUUACAAACAUCAAUGUAAUUAUCGAGCAUGACGUGAUAGACCAUACUGCAUGUAAUUCAUUGUCAAACCUUCCGUUCUCUCUCGUAGCUAAACAGGUGGGAUACUUUGUUCAUGCUUGAAAAAAUUAUGAGGAUCAACCAUGGUUUUCACACGUACCAGUCUAUCAAAAUUACCUUUAAAAUACUUGCUCCCAUAAAUCUUCGCAAUCUGAAAGUUAGUCUGAUUAUCCAGAUUAGCCCCAAUUUCUAGAUCCCGGUAGUUUUGGAAGGCCUCUCUUGGGUUCUUGGAGACAUAUGGAGUCAUCAGGUCAAACAACUUUCUUGAUAAUUGAAGGUACUUGCUGGCUGCCUCAACACCUUCCUCUACCCAUACCGCAUAGUAUUGAAUCAAAAAUAGGUUUCCAGCUCUGUGAGGGGACGGAGUUGCCGACUCAGGAAUCUCGCCCAUUCUUCCACCGUAAGGGUUCCAGUCCAUCCAAAAAUUGUCUAUCUUAAUCAUCUCCUUCCAUAAGGAUUCUAUAACUCGUUUCGGAAUCGGUUCGUCACAUAGUCAGACUUGGCUUUGAAGAAGCUUGGUUGUCCAUUUGUCCUGUUGAGAAGAGUAGUUAUCGGAGUUCCAAAUGGGAAAUCAGCAAAGAACACUAUGUUUUCAAUCCAGCUCAUUUCGAAACAAUCUCUUCGUUGCAAACCUAAUUCGGGCAAGCGCUCCUUUACCAACGGAAGAAGCUUGUUAGUUCGUCCCAAAAAAAGACCAAUGAAUGAUACUUUCACAGUCUUCUUUCUCCCGGUGCUGUUCACUUGUAGUGGCCUUACUCUGAGGAAGAGGUCUUUAGGCAGCAGGGGUGCUGCGUAUUGCCAUUUAUAAACGACAUCUGUAGCCCCUUGCUCUAAGGUUAUUGAGACGUUGAACACAGUCACUUUAGCUGGAACCGAAACCAACUUGAGCUUCCACGAGAGAAUGACCCCGAAACUAGCUCCACCGCCUCCUCUAAUAGCCCAGAAAAGAUCUUCUCCCAUUGAUUUUCUAUCAAGGACUCUACCAUCUGCAACAACUAUCUUAGCAUCAAUAAUAUUAUCGAUGCUAAGGCCAUAUUUACGCAUCAAAGAGCCAUACCCGCCGCCACUAAAGUGACCACCAGCACCAACAGUUGGACCAACCCCAGCAGGAAACCCUAGAACGUUGCUUUUCUCAGCAAUUUUGUAAUAAACUUGGCCAAGGGUAGCUCCGGACUGAACCCAAGCGGUCUUCUCCGCAACAUUAACAUUAAUGGAUUGGAGUUGAAACAUGUCAAGAAUGAUAAAGGGUACAUGGGACACGUACGAUAGACCCUCGUAAUCAUGGCCACCACUUCGGAUUCUGAUUUGCAAUCCUUGCUGUUUUGCACAUAGAACAGUUGCUUGAACAUGGUACUCGUGCUUGGCUGCUACAAUGGCCAAAGGUUUUGGAGUUGUGGAUGUAGAAAAUCUGCGGUUUUUAAUACGGUCCGACAGAACAGAUUGAAACGAGGUGUUUUGAGGGGUGUAAAUGCCUGCAUGGAUUGAGCUGGUAGACUGAGAUUGUUUAGAAAGGCAUUGCAGAAAGUCAUCAAUAUUGACAAGUGGAUCUGAAGUUGCCCAUGAAACUGUGACGACUGAAAGGAUUGAGAGAAUGGCGAGUUGAAAUGGAGAGCUUGGGAACUUCAUUAUUGUUGAUUUCUGGCAGUGUGACAAAACAAACGACUUCGGAGUAUUUAUAAAGAAGCCAAAGCACCAAACUUUGACUCCGUUUGUGCAUGGUAAUUAAAAUAUGGGUGCUUUAGAUUUAGCCCCUUACAACUGUUGAACUCUAGACAUAAACCCACCUGUAUUAAAACAUCUAAAUCAAAAUCAAAAUUUGAAUUUGAUGUCAUGUAAGAUAAAAGAUGUCCAUACAUUUAAAUUUAUUUACAACACCAUGCCACCUAGGGGUGGGUUCAAAAAACCGAAAACCAAACCGAACCGAAACCGAAAAAACCGAACCGAACGAAAAAAUCGAACCGAAUUGAAAAAACCGAACCGAAACGAAUUCUUUUGGUUCGGUUAGGUUUUAGUGAUCUAGAAACCGAACCGAACCGAAUUAAUUAAAUUAAUUUUUUUAUUUAAUUAUUUGUUUUGGGUAUUAUUUUCUAAACCCAAUUUGUAAGUUAAAAUGUGCUAAACCCAAUGUAUUGCCAAACUUUAAGCUCAAAAUAUUUAAAAAAAUGCCUAUAAAAACUCUAAACCCUAACCUAUUAUUUCUCCCCUAUAUAAGGUUCCGGAACUAAACCUCCUCCUGAAGUAUCUACAUCCAUCUCCAUAGCACUGUCUACUUCUGCCCCGGCUUUCUUUUCCAAAUCUACUCUCAUAUAACAUGUAACAAAAUCCAUAAACAUUUAUUUCGGGUAGAUUACUUGGGUAAUUUGUGAUGGAAAAGAAUCCAACACACACUAAAUAAAUCUACACACGCAUUACUUUUACUAAUUAAGUUGUCAACAUGCAGUUACAAGCAAACAACCCUGAUCUUUGAACAACAUCAUACAAUUUAACUUUUCUAAGUCAUUUGUACGAUUUUUGUGCUGUGAGGUUGUUAGUUUGGACUUUGGAAUACUUGAUUGAUGAUUUUAGUUCAACUUUAAAUGUUUAUUUUCAUUGUCUUUGAUUUUAGUAAGAAUGCUUAUGUUAUGAUUGUGUUGCAUAUGUUAAAAUUUAAAAUUUGAAUGUUUUUCAUUUUUUGAAAAAAACAAAACAAAAACAGAAACCGAACCGAAACCAAACAGGAAAAAACCGAACCGGAAAAAAACCGAACAAAAAAAAUGAACCGAACCGAAAUUUCAGUUUCGUUUCAAUUUUGGCAAAAAACCAAACCGAUUUAAACCGAACCCACCCCUAAUGCCACCAACAUUAAUAUGACUAUUACGGUUUUUUUUUUGUAGACUUUUAAUUUAUUGUCUUUGUUUGUCAACAACAUUCAAUUAGUUCAAGUUUUUUUUGCUUUUAAUUUAAAAAAAUAAGGAAGUUCUUUUCUUCUUUUAUGUGAAAUCGCCUAAUCCAAAUCUAAUUAGUUCAAUAUACAUUCUAUUGAAAAAGUAGAUACAUUAACUUGUGAAUUUUUUUUUAAAAAAAAAAGGUAAAAAUAAACUAGUAGAUACAUUGUUUUUUUGCAUAUAUGGGUUUGUUAUUAUGUAGGUAAAUUAUUUUUCAUGUAUUUUACAUACACUGGGUAUAUUAUUUUUCUUUUUUUAAGCAAUCUAACAUUUAAAAUUUUUAAUAGUGGGUGCACUGUUUGAAUCAAAUGUUUUUUUUUUUGUAGGGAAAUUAUUUUGCAUGAAUUUUACAUAUAUCAGGCAUUUAUAUAUGUGUGUGUGUGAGAGAGAGAGAGAGAGAGAGAGGGAAAUAAUUUACCUACAUUAAUAUGUAAAAUAUAAUUUUAUUGACUUAAUUAAGCAUGUAUAAUAACAUAUAUUAGACCUGUUUUAUGUUAUUAUAUAUUAGGCAAUGAAUUUAUAACAUUAUUGUUUUUUUUUUGGUAAAAUCAUUAAUUCUCUCUUAUCAUCCAUCUGCAUGGCAUUAAUUAUAUAUCAAACAUUCAAAUAGGGUUUAUAAAAAAAUAAAAAUAUUCAAAUAGGGGUAUUUUAGGCAUCCGAAUUUUUUUAAUUUGUGAAGUCAAACAUAAUUAAUGAAUUUGCUGAUAUGAAAUCUAGUCAAUGGUUUUAUUCAAGAAAAAAACUUAUCUCAGGUUUUAUGUAGAGAAAAUUAAAAUUUUAGAGCUAAAGUCAUAUUUUCAGUUAAAAUAUCAAUCAAAUUUCAUUGAGCGAAGGAGUUGAUGUGUGGCGGAGAAUUCAGGUUUAUCUGUUACUCGUUUGUUGAGGGAAUCUAACUUUUAAUCGAAUAAUACCAGAGGGUACGGGCAAUUUCGGUUUCGCCAUAAAUUAUUUGUCUUCUACACAAACACAAAGAGCAUGAAUGAAUGUUAUGGAAGGAGACGCAAGUGUCAGUAUUUAGGCCCAGUAUUUAAGUCGUGGGUCAACGCGGAUUUGAAAAAUGGUGCACGUUUUUGAUGCGAUGAUGCGAAUCAAGCAUACAUACAAGUAUAUCCCACCCAAAAAAUAAAAGCGUAUGGUCCCGGCCAAAAUAACCUUCUCUCUUUUUUUUAAUCUAUAUGUACCUUGAGAGUUGGAUCAUAUAUAGUUAAUAAGAUUAUAAACUAGUACAAGAUUUUAAUGAAACUUCGUUUUUUAUUUUUUAUUUUUAUUUUUUUAUCUGAGUGUCGUAACAGAGGGCCGUGAAAUUAUUAUUCGUUUCAUUUUAGUUUCAUAGUUUGGUAAAAUAUGGGAUUCAAUUAUGUUUUAUGAAGAGAAGAAUCAUAAAUAGAAAAGCGUCUAUGGCAAUCAGUAAAGGAUAAGUUGGGCACGAGAGAUUUUUCAGUGUGACCGGUACACGGAGUGGUAUACCACGUGUUACUACACAAAUGAUUGGAUAUGUGUGAUAAAAAGUUAACUUAAAAAAUAAAAUUUCCCACCACAUAUAUAAAAACACGUGAUGUACCAUCUGUGUUCCGAUCACAAUGAAAAAAUUCUCGUUGGGCACAAGUAGGGGUGGGCACUUGGAACCGAAAACUGAAACCGAAACACGAAUUGAAUCGAAGAGCACCAAACGGUUUGGUUUUGUGGUUUUGAAAAGGUUUCGGUUUCGAAACCAAACCGCGGCAAAGAAAACAGUUUGGUUUCAAUUUUUGGUUUUCGAAAUCGAAACCGAAAUUGAAACCGCAUGUUAUGUUUUCAACUAGGUUACUGGACUAUCAUCCAAUUUUUCACUUCGAGUCCUGAAGGCUGAAACUCAUCUUCAUCUCUCUCAAAAGUCAAAACCCAUCUCCAUCACUUUCACAGUCGACAUUAGUGCCCUAAACUCAUUAUGUGCGACAUGGCUGCUUGCAUCUCUGCGACCUCACCGCUUGCAUCCUCAGAUCCCAUUCAUUUGGGAGCCCUGUAUUCUGCAAAUCAAAAGCUUUGCAAAACAAACUUGACAAAUCAUUCACCUGCUCUUUGUCACAUCCCGGCCCGGGAUAGAUCACUUCCCGGGCCCGCUCCACCACCGUAGCAUGAUAUUGUCCGAUUUGGGCUCCGACCACGCCCUCACGGUUUUGUUUCUGGGAACUCACGAGCAACUUCCCAGUGGGUCACACAUCAUGGGAGUGCUCUAGCCCCCUUCUCGCUUAACUUCAGAGUUCCUACGGAACCCGAAGCCAGUGAGCUCCCAAAAAGCCUCGUGCUAGGUAGGAAUGGGAAUAUACAUUUAAGGAUCGCUCCCCUGGGCGAUGUGGGAUGUCACACUCUUCGUUCCAGCUAAUAUGGUAAGAACUUGGAACUUGUAUUAGUAAGUUUAGUUAAUAAUUUGUAAUUAAAUUAAUUUUAUAGUUAGGGUUCGUUUGAAUCAAAGAUUCAAAAAGGGAACUGGGAGCACUUUCUUCGAGUAUUCUGCAUACCACAUUAUAUAUUGAUAGCAAAAUCAAGAAUUUUCAUUAAUGCAGUUUUUCUUACUCAUAGGACAAUGAAAACUCUGAAGUUAAGCAACUUAUUCAACUCAAGAACUUUUUCCUCUCUUUCUUUCUUGUUUUGUAAAUCGUCUAUUAUUGAUUUUCUAUUUUCAUUGUUCUUUUGUUCUUUCUUGUUUUGGAGCAUUGUUGCGUAUGAGUUCUUUUGUUAUGUUUUCAUUGAUUUUUUGUUUUGUUGUUCUCUAGUCAGUAGUCAGGUGUAGUUCUAAGUUGUAGCAGAAAACUGGUGGAUUAAAUUUAAAGUCAUUUUAUGCAAGAGGCUUGAAAGUCGUCUUUCAAUUAAUGGUUAAAUUCCACAUGCCAAUCUAACAAAACAAACUCAUUAAUAUCAUGGCAUUGAAAUUCAAAGUUAGGACAUUACUUUAUUAAUUACUAUUAAUAUUAGGGUACCAAAUUGACAGGUUAAAGUUGAACUGAACUGCCCCAACUAGGGUUGAAAUAAAAUGGCAUAAUUACAUAUGGUCAGAGAGGUUUUCUUUAAUGCUUGUGUUGUGUGUUGUAGAUUAUGUGCAUUCCAUUCCUUUAAGAUAAUGAGCAUUUCGUAUUUUAUUUCAAUCAAGAUAUGAAGAAUUGCAGCAAGCAUAGUGGGAUUAGUCACUCUUCUACGGGGGACUCCCCUGAGAAGCCAGAGGACGAGGCAAUAGAAAUUGACUUGAAAAAUGAAAUAGAUGUUGAAGGUGACCCUGAAAAUGACGGCGAAGAAUUUGAGGGCGAAGAUGAAAAAGUAAGUAACUUUGAUUCAAGAAAACGUAGUUGGGUUUGGGAUCAUUUUACAACAUAUUGUGUGACGAAAAAACAGUCGAAAAUUAAUGAAAAGGGGGAGAAAUAUUUGGCCGAAGUAAAACGUAGGAGAGCUAAAUGUAAUUAUUGCCCAAAACAGAGCAGUGUGGGUGACUAUGCAGCUGAAGCGAGAGUUAAUGGCACCACAAGCAUGAGAUACCACAUUGAAAGAUAUUGUAAAUUUUACCAAGGGAAUAGAAGUAAAAAGCAAAAUAUAUUGCGUGCCCUUUAUGAUGAAUAUGCUCCCAAUGUUGAAGGUGGAAAAUAUAUGAAGAAAUCGGAAAAUUUACAAUCACAACCUUCUUCUACCUCAUCUAAUGUGGCUAUGACGGAAGAUGAUCUAAUUGAUGAAUUGAUGCAUUUUGUUGAAGAUAGUGAUGAUAAAGUGGUGGGAGAUGAGGUGGAUUCUUUGUUUGAUCCUUUGGUACAAAUUACAAAAGAGGAGUCCACAAAGCAUUUUAACAUUCUCCUAUGGUGGAAGGUGAAUGGUAACAAGUAUCCUAUCUUGGCCGCAAUUGCAAAAGAUAUUUUUGCAAUUCAAGUUUUGAUCGUGGCAUCGGAGAGUGCUUUUAGCAUUGGUGGUCAAGUGAUUUCGGAUUUUAGGAGUUCUUUAACUCCUAAAUUGGUGGAAGCCUUGAUAUGCAUGCAAAAUUGGUUGAAGGGCGAUAAUAUUAUUACUUUGGAGGAUGAUGCACUUUCAAUUGACCAUAUUGAGUUCUAUGAAAGUAUUGAAUCAGGUAAGUAUAUCAUUUGAAGUAAAAGAACUUUCUCGUUUUCUUUUUUCAACUAAACAUUAAUUAUAUUUUUUAUGUUUUGUAUUGUGUAGAGUUGGCCAAAUCAGCUUCAAGCAUUGCCUCUCUUGAUCCACAACCACAACAAGCUCCAAAGCAAUCUCAAUGUUCUAAUUCACAAAAGCCUCCCAUUUUGCGUUUACAAGGUGCAAGGCCUUCACAAGCUCAAAGGCCUCCUAAACCUUCAAAGAAUAAGUGUCCAAAAGGAAAAGGAAAGACAAAGGUUUGAAACUUGAACGAUGCAAUGUAAGUUGAAAACCAAGACCUUGUUGAAUUCCAUGAACCAUUUAUUUAUUUUUUGUUGUAUUAAUGCCAUAAGGCAUUUUGACAUUGAACUUUGUUUGAAACAUUGAAGUUUGAACUUUAGUUGUAUUAUGGCAAACUUAACUUUUCAAUUGGGUUGUAGUAAAGUAUUGUGAUUGGUGAUCAAGUUGAAUUUUAGUAGAUGUGAUGCGUAAGGAUUUAAAGUUUAAACCCAUUGAUGCAUUGGAUGUUGUCUCAAUUUUAGUAGUUGUCAUUUGUUGCAGUUUUGGUACAAGUUUGGUACAUGUUAGUUGCUUUUUUUGCUGCAGUUUUGCUACAGUAUUAGACGAUAUGGGGUGACUGAUGCUACAUAUGACUGAUGCCGACUAAUGUUGCUUACUGAUGCUGCAUAUGACGGUGCAUAUGGAUAUUACACGAUAUAAGGUGACUGAUGCUGCAGUAUUAGACGAUAUGGGAUGAUUGAUGCUGCAUACAACUGAUGCUACAUAAUGAUGUUGCAUACGACUGAUGCUGCAUAUAGAUAUUAGACGAUAUGGAGUGACUGAUGCUGCCAAAUUUUAUGUUUCUUUCCUCUUUCCAUGGGAUUCUCAAUUAAGUCUAAUCCCUUAAUUUGAAGAAGAUUGACAUCUAGAUGUUGCCAAAGUUUAUGUUUCCUCUUUUUUUUUUUUUUUUUUUGCAGUUUUGCCACUAUUUGUUGCUGCAUUGUUGUUGCUGUUUUUGCUGCAUAUUCAUUAAUUAAUAUAUGAGGAAAAUAAGACCGCCUUUAAAUUGUACAUUUUUUUCUCAAAAACCAAACCGAAACCGUUUGAAACCGCACCGAAUUGAACCAAACGGUUUAAUUUCAUUUCGAUUUUAGCUUCAAAACCGCACCGAACCACACCGUAAAAAGUUUCGAUUUUGGUUGCGGUUUCACUUGAAACUACACCGAACCGCACCGUGCCCAUCCCUAGGCACAAGCAGGAAAAGAGUCGAGCCAAGUACAAUUCGAUUAUUUGUGAUGACCUAAAUUAGCUAAAGGCAUCAGCGGAAAUUUUGGUUUCUCUAAAUGCUUGGACAUUUAGGUUGACUUGCCCUCAAUUUAACAAAUUCAUCUCCACCAGUAAAGAAAAGGGCAAUUGUAUAAAGGGCAGCAGCCUGUCGGACUGCCCUUGCAAUAAUUGCUGUGCCUUGAGCCAGCCAUGAUGCCAUCAUACUGCAGAAAGUGGGCCCCACGUGGACGCCACCGAGCCAUUGGGCUGAAUUUCCAGUCUGGCAACUGUUGGAAAUUCCAACUGUCUUCUCGUUUGGAUCCGGAGAGAUCCUUUUCCGUUUGUUAUUUACCAAUCAAAGAUGAUCUUGUUUGCUUUCCCGUCACGUCUUGUAGUGCUAAUUAGGGUAUCUUGUAUGCUUUUGCUUUUCUUUUGUUUUUUCGCAACUUUGGAAAUGAGUACAAAAACAUUCAACUUCGGAUAAUAUGUUUUUAAAGAUUUUAGAUUUGUACGUUUUGUGGGGUUUGUGAUACUUCCAGAAACUUUGUAUGACUUUGCUGUGUUCUACAGUGAUCUCUCUAUAGGAGAGUAUUCUUAAGUGUGAUUUUGGUAUAGAUAUGUCGUGUUACACCUAUUUUUGAAGAAUUUAUCAUUACCCAAAAUUUACUAGCAUUCUUAAAUGUGAUUUUGGUAUAGAUAUGUCGUGUUACACCUAUUUUUUGCAAAUUUGGCAUUACACAAAAUUUUCUCUUAGGCAUCAUCUUUUAGACAAUGCCUAUCUCACUUCACAAUGGAGACUUUUGUUUUUCACUCUUAGAUUUCAGAAUUUACAAAUUUGAGUAAGUGCCGCCGAUGCCUUCUCAUUUUUAGACUUCAGUAUUUAUAAAUUUGACACCUAAACUAUUAACACCAUCAAAUUUUGUUUUUUUCCGACGGUGACAAUGCAAUUUGGUGGCCGAAUUAGGCUUUUAUCUAUUUGUUGGUUGUGUAUGCGUAAUUAUGUUUAGGUCAUGUUAAAGUGUUGGAAUUCGUUUAAAGGGUUAUGUUGAAACUGGCCAUGGAAAAGUUAUACUCAUUUUUUUAACAUGUUUGUUCUUCGUUGCAAUGUUUAUUAAUUGUCAUUUGGUGGAGUGGAUAUACGUUUUGUUUUUUCAAUUUAUGUUGCUUAGUCGUUACCUAAUCUUGUCACUUAUUGAAGACAAAAUCUUUAGAUGGUUUUUUCUUUGUCAAGCAAAUCUUUUGGAAAGUUGCACUUUUCGUGUUAGCUAAUUAAUCAAAGAUAUAAAUUUUGUUCGACGACAGUACCUCUAAAAGAAAGUAACAUAAAAAUUUAGUUUCGUAGAGAUAACAUUGAUUACAUCAUAUUUCAUUUUGUUAUAUAAAAAUCCAUGUAUACUGUUAUUAUCCGUGACACCAUUAUUUUCACACAACUUUUGACACAUGGUUUUUAUAGGAUCUACUUCGUAAUGUAUUUCAAUGAUCUGAGUCAUCUAUCUUUUAGGUCUUCCUUCAAGAUCAUGUCUACCAAAAAUACCCAAAUCUGAAACCAUGACCAUUGGAUUAAGGGUUUAUGUUUCUUUGUAGAACUAUAUUUGUCUAUUUUCUUCACUAUAAAGGAAUGUUUUAAUGAUUUUAAAUUUGUAUAAUUGUUUACAAAAAUGAUCUAUAAAUGACUUUCUAAAAGAUAAACGAUUCAUAUAUGAAAACAAAAUAAUGUCACAAAUCUGUAUAUAAUAUUACAAGGUUGACUGACUCUUUUCAAAAACUGGUAAACCAGUAGGUUAGCUGGGACUUAAUAAUUGGUGUUAUAUUUAUAUAUUAUUGCUCAAUUAAUGGUCCAUACAUUUGGUUGCGUACACUCCAUAUGUAUUCUCGUUGGAUCCUUUUUGUGAUGAUCUUAGGAAUCUGUGAAUUAUGUUCAUUUAUUAUAUAUCGUGCGGUCAUAAAUUAUUUAAAUAUUUUUAUUUAAAAUUAAAUAUAAACAAUACUUAAUAAAAAUUGAUUGCAUAAUGUACGAUAAUAGACACCAUUCAUGGAUCUAUAGGAUCUUCAUCAAAAGGAUCCGGAGAGGAUCUGUUGGGCGUACACUGCCAUGGCCAUUAUUGAGUUUGAAUUCAGAUAUAAAGGCUUGGACAUAAAACUCACAUAUAUCAUCACACAUGAAUUAUAUUAGUGGAUAUAAUUAUGUGAGAACAAGCAUGUGGUGUAUACAUGGAUGACCAUACGUAUUCCAAACCAUCUAAAAUAAGUAACUCGAAUCCUUGCAAAUCAAGAAAAACCCAAAUGGGAAACCAAUAAUGUGUCAAAACCAAAAGCAACUAGGAAUACAAUAAUUUCUCGAGGAUAAUGUUAGGAAGAUAAUUUUUAAGCUGAAUUUACAAAGCAAAUAAUGUGUCGUCAAUAAAAAAAAUAAGCACGUUAAUCAAUAUUAAGUAAUAAUCCAAUUAUCAACAUCCAUAUCAUUUGGUUUACAAAAUUUAGUUUAAAAUUUUAAUCUCUCAAGCAUUACCUUUUUCUCAAACUUUCAUGAAUUGAGUCUGUAACAUCCCGGUCCGGGCCCCCACCACAUCCCGGGCUCGACUCCGACGUAGCACGAUAUUGUCCGCUUUGGGCCCCGAUCACGCUCCCACAUUCUCAGUGGGUCACCUAUCAUGGGAUUGCUCUCGUGCGAACUUGCUUAACUUCGGACUUCUGAUGGAACUCGAAGUCAGUAAGCUCCCAAAAAGGCCUCGUGCUAGGUAGAGAUGAGAAUAUACAUAUAAGGCUUAUAGGAUCCACUCCUAUGGGCAAUGUGGGAUGUUACAAUCCACCCUCCUUAGGGGUCUAACGUCCUCAUCAAGGGAUUGGUUCGGACACCAAAUUGUCACAUCCCGACCUGGGCCCCCACCACAUCCCGGGCUCGACUCUGCCGUAGCACGAUAUUGUCUGCUUUGAGCCCCGACCACGCCCUCACGGUUUUUUUUUUUAGAACUCACGAGCAACUUCCCAGUGGGUCACCCAUCAUGGGAUUGCUCUCGCGAACUCGCUUAACUUCGGAGUUUCGAUAGAACUCAAAGCCAGUGAGCCCCAAAAGGUCUUGUGCUAGGUAGAGAUAGGAAUAUACAUAUAAGGCUUACAUGAUCCACUCCUCUAUAUGAUGUGGGAUGUUACAGAGUCAGACUCAACUAGACCUGGAUAUACACACACAUGUAUAUAUGCAUAACUUGGUCUCAUUACGUGUGUGGAAUAUGUCUUUUGAAUACAAUGAUAUUCAAAGUUAUUUUGACAAUGUUACGUAAAUGACUAGAUUUGAGAACGAGAAUGACCGGACGUCCUGACUCCACAAAGAUAAGUAACUCAAAUCCUUGCACAUCAAGAAAAACCUAGAUUGGAAAGAAAUAAUGUGUCCAGAACGAAAAGAAACAAGGAAGCAUAAUAUUUCUCAAAAUAUUGAUCAACUGAGCCGGACUCAGCCUAACAUGUUUCUUGAAUGUAUAGUGGAUUGCUAUUUGGCUAGGAAAAGAUUGAAAGGGAGUUGCUACAAGACACGUUUGUGUACAUUAUUUGCUACAAGACACGUUUGUGUACAUUAUACACAUCACAUUGUUUAUAAAUUUGAUCUAAAAAGUUGGUUUACCUAGUAUUACUCUUUGAUAAUAUUUGUUCUCAUUACUUGUGUGUAAAGGGAACUGCUAAUUUGUUUUUUGGAUACAAUGAAACCGAAUUAAUUCUAUUCUCUAACAAUAUUAUGCACUACCAAAGUUGAACUAAACAGAGUUAUAGAGACACGGUACUCAUGAAGGUAGAAGAGAAUGAAUUAAAGUAGUAUUCUUCCUUAUAUAUAGAGGAUUAAGUGUUAUUUUCCUUCAUUAUUAGAGGUAGUUUUAUUUGUAUAUGUUAGUUAUUAUUAGAUGCAUUUAUUGUUAAUUUUCGCCUUUAAAUUCCAGGAGGAGCGAAUAAGAUAUUUGUCCCUAAAACUAUUGUGGCUAUUACUAUAUCUGAACCUAAUAAUAGCAAUUUUCGCCCCUAUUGCUGUUCCUGCCAUGCUGACAGUUAAAACAAUAUAGUCAUACAAUUAAGCCCCUAUUGUAGUUAACUAUUAUAAUCAUUUAAAUUUAAUUCCCUUGUAAAUUAGAUUAAGGAACAAUUACACAUACAUCCAAAUUAUAAGACUAUAUUUUGGAGAAGGACAAAUUUUUUUAUUGAUCUUAAAGAGGGACAAAACUUAUCCAUGUCGCAUAAUGUCACGACUGAUUGGUUUUUUAAUUGUUUUUACAUUUAUAAUUUUACCCUUGUAUAAUUGAGAGAUGAGUCUAUCUCUUCGUUAGCACUAGUUCUCUCUCUCUCUCUCCUUCCUUUUCUUUGUGAUUUUCUCUCUAUGUUCCUUCUCUUCUUACCCGUCUCUCUCUUUCUUUCUCCACGUUCUUCCUACCUUUCUCUCUCUUUUUCUCACUCUCCUUGUCCGUCCUUAUUCUUCUCUCUUAUUUCUUCUUCCCUCCUCUCCUUCUUCUUGUUCCUAUUUUUCCUUAGACUCAUAAGUGGUUUCUUUUCUAAGAACGAUUAGGAUUUUUUUUUAUUCUCUUUUUUUUUUUUAAAAAAAAUUGAUUUUUAAGCUUUGAUUGAUUUGGAUGCAUGAAUUUUGAAACUGAUAUUGCAGAAAUGCAAGAAUUUUUUAAACUAAUCUUGCAGAAAUGUUGAAAAUUUGAAACUGAUCUUGCAGGAGUACUAAAAAAAUUGAAACUAAUCUUGUGAAAGUGCUGAAAUUUUGAAACUAAUGUUGUGAAGUGCUAAAAUUUUUGAAAGUAAUAUUGCAGAAAUACUGAAAAUUUAUAACUAUCUUACAGAAGUGCUGGAAUUUUGAAACAAUAAGUGCUAAAAACUUUGAAACUAAUAUUGCAGAAGUAUUGAAAUUUUGAAACUGAUCUUGUAAAAGUGCAGAAAAUUUUGAAACUGAUUUUACAAAAAUGAAGAAAAUUUUGCAACUGAUGGUGCAGAAGUGUUGGACUUUAAAAAUGAUCAUGCAUAAGUAAUAAAAAUUUUGAAACAUUUUUUUUUAUCAAGGUAAAAUUUUUGAAACUAAUGCACAUAGUACAAAGCUUGGAAGAAAAAGAACACAGCCAUACUACUAAAAAAUGUAUGAGAAAUUCAAUGUCAAAUUGUAGUCUGACCUAUCUAUACUCUAAAACUAUUAAGAUUUCACAAAUCACAAAAGGAGCACUAAACACCUGCAUAACCUGGCAAGUAUUCAGUUUGAUCACGAAUCAUAAUGAUAUUUUCACAAACUUAACCACUUGUACAACUCGACAUGUGUUGGAUUUUAUUACAAAAAGUAUCGUGCAAUUAAGAGUGAAACCAUUCAAUAUGAUUGCAAUUUAUUCUAUCAAGUUUUGAAUGUGGAAUUACAGUCUUCAACAAAAACCGGUAUAUUUGUGACAUGUCGUUCCCUUUAUUUUGAAAAAGUUUAAAAUACUUUUUAUUUUAUUUUAAGAAAAACACAAUAUUUCAUUCAUUGAUAAAGGCCUUUACAAAUAUUUAUCAUGAAGACCUCGGUCCCAAAAGAGUCCUUGCAAACUAGAUAUAAAAAUACUACAAUAAAGCAUCACUAAUCGCAAAGUAAUGAGUAUACUUCAAGCACUUGUCCAAACUCAUCGAAAACUGCACGAUUACACAAAUCAAUAAAACCGUUAAUUUUCGUGUUACACGAAGAUUAUGUGAGAACAAAAUCUCAAACCAUAAAUUGGAACAUGGACUACGAUGCCAAUGGGUCAAUCACAUCAUCUAACCACCCCCACAAUCCCUGAACACCAUAUGAAGUAAAUCCAGCAAAUCAAACAUCUCCAUCCUUUACACUUAGAUCCAAAAGAGGUAGCACACCCAAAAAAAAAAAUUUAAAUGAAGCAACUCUCCUAUAGAGAGAAAUCAAACUAGCAAACUCAAAUCAAACCAAAGUCCAAGACAAUUCUUGAAAAUUAUUAAAUAUAAACAAAAUAAAAGGAUAAAAUCAUGUCGCCGCACCGCAUCCUCUAGACAUCCGAAAGUCAUAUCACUACACCGGCUAAACCCAAGUGUCGUAGUGACUAAACUUGAUCCCUAUGCAAUUAGGCAUCUUCCAUGGUGACUAAAGUGUUUCACAGUGACAAUUCAACAUCAAAAUAGAAUAAACGGAAAUUGAGAAGGAAGAGACCAAGAAUGAUUUUCAAGCCGAUUGCCCCAACCCCCAAAGCCAAGGGCAGGUCUCGAUGGCAGAUGAAUUUUCCUGGGUUUUCCGGCUACGGUUUUUCGUCAGAUUUGUUAACAAUGUUAUACAAUGAAUUAUUUAAUAUCAUCCUAAACAAAACUUUACGGUACAAAUAAGUUUAAAAUACUUAAAUCCGUUUUCUUUCUGCAUUCUUCAACGUUGAAUUAAUAAUGACAUCGCAAGUCUCAAGCAAUUAAUUUUUGCAAGCUCACGACUAAUUAAUCUGAUUUUGUUCUUUUAAGUAAAGGUUAAUUAAUAGGACCAAUUAAUUGAUUUUCAAUGCGAAAAAAAGAAGAAAAAUAGCUAGAUGUUGCAACUGAUCGCAAAUCGUUAAACAAUAAAUUUGACAUCAAGACAACUUAACCAAAUGACUUUCGUUAGGAGGAUUGCUGAAGUUCUCUUUUGACUGCAGAGCUUUUGCUGUUGUACAACAUUGAGGGACACAAAUGUCUCUGGCUGUUGUACAACAUUGAGGAACACAAAUGUCUCUGCGACUAAUUAGCCACAUUGCUAUAUUUAUAUCAUCUUUGCCACACAAAAAUUACACUAUUGCUAACUCACUUCUCUUAUCUUGUACAUAAUUACAAAUGAGUCCAAGGUAUAUUUCCACGACUCACUUGUAUUAAAAAGUGUGUCAACAAUAAUAUCAAUUUAGUGUGCCUAAAUAUAAUUACCGAUACCAUAUCGACUUGCAACAUUUCAAUUUACAAAUUAAUUUAAACAGAGUAACAACAUGUAUUAUUUUUUUCUUCUAGAGCAACAACUAGUGUCUAUUUAAGAACUUGCAACGUUCUAAAUUAAUUGUUUUGAGAAAAAGAAACAGUUUUUAGGCAGGAAUAUUAUUUGUUAUUAUUACUUCUUUGCAACAUACUCUGUAAUUAAUUGGUCAUAAACAUUACGUUUUCUCAUCAUAAGGAAAAAAAAACAUUAUGCUUUCAAGAACUCAAGAAGAAAAUACCGCAGUAGAAAAAAUUGCAAGAUAAUGAAGGGACAAAGCUCUGCAACAAUACCCUUCAUUUUCCCAUUCCUUUUGCUCUUUAGUAGCACUGUUUAUUGUCUCACUCCUUUCUGUGCAUCUAUUGAUCCACCAAUAAAGGAUAUCCCUGAUCUCAAAUACACCCCCAUACCGCUUCCGAAACAUUCUCAACAAAUUCUCAAUGACUUCCUCGAAUGCCUUGCGGUAAAAUUUCAGUCCACCAACCACCCUAUCAUGGAAGCCAUUUACACCCCACAAAAUACCUCAUUUCACCAAGUUUUGCUGGCACACACUAAAAACCGCAGAUACACAACGCUUGAUACUCCAAAACCUUUGGCUAUUGUAGCAGCCAAGCACGAACGCCAUGUGCAAGCAACCGUAAUUUGCGCAAAACAACAUGGGUUGCAGAUUAGAAUCCGAAGUGGUGGCCAUGAUUAUGAAGGUCUAUCAUACGUAUCGGAUGUACCCUUUGUCAUUCUUGACAUGUUCAAUCUUCGAUCCAUUGAUGUUAAUGUGACGGAAGGGAGGGUUUGGGUUCAGUCAGGGGCUACAAUUGGUGAACUUUAUUAUGAAGUUGGAAAGAAAAGUAGGGUUCAUGGGUUUGCAGCUGGAUCUUGUCCAAGUGUCGGUAUUGGUGGUCACUUUAGUGGUGGUGGGUAUGGUCCUUUGUUGAGAAAAUAUGGGCUUACAGUGGAUAAUAUUGAAGAUGCUAGACUAGUUAAUGUGAAUGGUGAAAUCCUUGAUCGAAUGUCAAUGGGAGAAGAUCUAUUUUGGGCCAUUAGAGGAGGUGGUGGAGCAAGCUUUGGAGUCAUUCUUUCGUGGAAGAUCAAAUUGCUUCCAGUUCCAGCCCAAGUGACUGUGUUUCAGGUAGAAAGGACGCUGGAACAAGGCGCUAAGGAUGUGGUUCAUCGAUGGCAAUACGUUGCACCUAAGCUCCCUGAAGACCUCUUCAUUAGAACAGCAAUAAAAACCAAGAAUGGCUCCCAAGAGGGCACGAAGGCUGCGGUAGCAAUAUUCUCUUGUCAAUUUCUGGGACGAGCAGACAAGCUUCUUCAAUUGAUGAAUGAAAGUUUCCCUGAGUUGGGUUUACAGCAAAAAGACUGCUUUGAAAUGAGUUGGGAAGAAUCCAUGAUAUUCUUGGCUGGUUGCCCAGUUGGAACUCCCCUAGAAGUUCUACUUUCUAGGCCAAAAUUGCCAGUAAUUUUCUUCAAAAGUAAGUCCGACUACGUGAAAAAACCAAUUCCAAAACAUGGUUGGAAAUCUUUAUGGAAAAAUCUGAUUACGAUAGAUCACUUGUUAGUGCAAUUGAACCCUUACGGCGGAAGAAUGAGUGAGAUUUCUGAAUCAGGAACUCCAUUCCCUCACAGAGCUGGAAAUCUGUUUUCAGUUCAGUACUUUAUUUCUUGGAAGGAAGAACAGAUUGAGACCAUCAAGCGGAAUAUUCAUAGGUCAAGAAAGUUGUACAAAAGUAUGGCUCCAUAUGUCUCCCAGAACCCAAGAGAGGCUUUGCAAAACUAUAGGGAUCUUGACAUAGGUGCCAAUCUGCACAACCGGACUAACUUUCGAACAGCCAGACGUUAUGGUAGCAAAUAUUUCAAGGGUAACUUUGAUAGAUUGGUACGUGUGAAAACUAUGGUAGAUCCCCAUAAUUUUUUCCACCAUGAACAAAGUAUUCCUCCCCUUUAAAAAUUACAGAGAAUCAUAAAGUCAAUUGCAUUGGUAAUGUACCAACAAACUUGUAGGUAAGGAUACAACAGGGUAAAGUGGGCAAAAAACAUACAAGCAAUUGGAGUUAUGAAAUUAAAAUUUCUUAUUAGUAUGGCGUUUCCUAUGACACAAUUGAUUAGUUCUGAGAGUUUUGAUCUCUGACAUGAUCUUGAUAGUACUAGAUUCAUUGGCUUCAAUGGAUCCUUCAUCAGUUUCAGUUUCUUGCAAUAUUUAGGAUUAGUUGUUAAUUAACUUUUGUUGAUGCACAAAACCGGAGGUCUUGGAACAACGUAAUUCCGACCGUGAAUCUGCUAGAAAGUAAAGAACACAAGGUGUAUCGUGGUUCAUCCCAAUGUUUGGGCUACGUCCACACUGAUGUUGAUAUUGUUUUACUCUGAAUGGUGAAUAUACAAGAAGGCUAGAGGCAGUGUGCUCUCUAGCCUAUUUUCUGUGUUUGCCCUCUCUGAGAUGUUUUCUCUCUUCCCAUGGCCUAAACCUUGACCUAUCCUAAUGAGGAGAGUGAUGAGUCCUUUUAUAGAAUAAGGGCUCCUCACUUAUUAUAUAUUUGCCCAUUCAUUUAUUACAUAAUUACAUUUGAGUCCCCUGAGUAUUUAUACGAGGUCUAAAUACGGAGGCCCUAAAUAUGGUACAAAUAGUAGUCCCCUAAGUCUUCAGUCAAGAGAGUCUUUUGGCUUAAGACUUGAAAUUCAGUCCAUGUGUGGGCCGAAGUAACUAGAUGUUGUCUAGAACUGAUACUCGAUAUGAAGUGGUGCUCAAUGUGAAAUGAUGCUCAACUAGAAGUAGGACAUGUUGCAAGGCUGCUCGGCUUGUGGCUUAUGUUGCAUUGGUUGGCUCUGCUUGUGGCGUUGAAGGUGAGAGAGUCCCUUUUAUAGAAUAAGGCAUCGCUCCUCAAUACAUAAAUGAUGGGCUAGAGUUGAUGCUCGCGGCAAGACGGUUGCUCAGCAGGCGGCGAUGCUCUCUAAUGAUGGUGAGGGGGUCCUUUUUAUAGAAUAAGGGCUCGCUCCUCAAUACAUAAAUGAUGGGUUAGGAGUGAUGCUCGCUGCGAUGCCGUUGUUCAGCUGGCGGCGAUGCUCUAUAAUGAAGGUGAGGAAGUCUCUUUUAUAGAAUAAAUGUUCGCUUCUCAAUACAUAAGUGGUGGGUUAUGAGUGAUGCAGGCGGCGAGGCUGUUGCUCAACUAGUGGCGAGGUUGUUGCUCAGCUGGCGGCGAUGCUCUCUAAUGAAGGUGAGGGAGUCAUUUUUAUAAAAUAAGGGUUCGCUCCUCAAUACAUAAGUGAUGGGCUAAGAGUCUUUCUUUAAUGAAGGUGAGGGAGUCCCUUUUAUAAAAUAAGGGUUCGCUCCUCAAUACAUGAAUAAUGGGUGCUCUCUAAUGAAAGUGAGGGAGUUCCUUUUAUAGAAUAAAGGUUCACUCCUCAGUAUAUAAAUAAUGGGCUAAGUCCCCCAAGUAUUUUUCAUGAGGCCCAGUUGCGGAAGCCCAAUAUAUGGUACAUAGUGUAGUCCCCCAAGUCUUCAGUCAAUAUAGUAUGUUGGCUGGAGACUUCAAAUUCAAUCUAUGUAUGGGCUGAAGUAGCGGUUGUUCAGAUGCGGUCUUUGUAUACUAUGCACUGAAGCUUUGUAGGUGAGGCUUUGAAAGUAAAGCUUUGAAGCUAGAGCUUUGUAAAUGAAGCUUUUGAAGCUGAAGCUUUUGUAAAUGAAGCUUUUGAAUGUUGCUUGACAUGAGUGAUGCUCAUAGAUGUUGACAUGAGUGAUGCUCAUGAAUGUUUAUGUAUGAUUGACAUGAGUGAUGCUCAUGUAUGAUGAUGAUUGUCAUGAGUGAUGCUCAUGUAUGAUUUUUUUGGAGUACUGGACGUACUUUUGAUCACUUAGUUGGUGAUAAUAGAGGGUGAACCUUAAGUGGAGGGAUGGAGGUUGGAGUUUGAAGUCAUAGGGCCUGACUCUUUUUGGCAUAUGGGCAUUCGCCCUCCACAUAACAUUUCAUCCCACUAGUUUGGGCUUGUCGACAGUUUGCCUUUAUUUUUAUUUUUGGCAUGCUGCCUUCUUUACACAUCAGUAUAACUAUUCAAUAAUUGCUCCAAUUUGCAGAAGACAACUUAAUAAAAUAUUCAUCAAUGACAGUGGGUAUGGGCUGUAAAGAUAAGAGUCUUAUCUUUGUGGUUGUUUUCUCUGAGUGCGAAUGGAUGAUUGAGUGUGGCAGAGGAGAGACAUGUGCAUGGUGGGAAUGAUGCUCAAUGUCUUAUCUUUGAAGAUUUGCAGGCAUGCCUUAAAACAAACACAUCCAUAGCUUUUCCAUACCGUCCACCUUCAAAUUAUGCAGCAAAUUAGUCUCUUUAAAUACACCCACUUGCUCAUUUUCUUGUAGCUUUUUCAGAAUAUUCAGAGCAUGCUCCUUUGCAAAUUUGCAUGCUUGCUUUACAGCAAACACAUCCAUAACUUUUCCAGGCUGUCGACAAAAGCCAUUUUGCAUAAUAAAGUUCUUAUCUCUAUUUUCCCCCAGACAGUGAAGAUGGCAGCAUGUGACCAGCCGUAAUCAUGCCCUCCGCCAUCUGUAGAUGACAACAGAUCAUCAAUGCCAGUCCUUCCCACCUUGGCCGAUAAGAUUUGCAUCGACACCAACAACUUGGUAUAAAUGCCUUCACUUAGUUCAAUAAUCCCAGUUGUUUACGUUGGAUCACCACCAAGAGUACUAAGAGCGUGGUUUGCAACAAAACAAGCAUAUAAUCCUUCAUCAGAUCCUAACUUUUGCUAUUGCUGCUGCUUUCAGAUUCAUCGUCUUCGAGUUUUCGUCGUAGAGCUUCAGUCUUGAUCUCAUCCAGAAGGUCGUCUGCAGCAUACAGAGCAUCUUUGAGUUCGUCGAGCCACUCCCUCAUAGCUGGGUUUUUGAACUGCUUCUCAUCUGCAUCAUCAAGAACCGAAUUAACUAAGCAGCUUAAUCUUCAACUUCUUGAGCAGUCCGCUGAUGAUCUUUUGUCUGCGGAUGAAGUCGACGAUGGGACGGGAGGCCAGCCUAUCAAAUAAGACAGAGAGAAAGGAAGAGAGAAGAACACCGCCCAUAACUUCUAUCGCCAUGGAUUUCAAUCUUCUGAUGGAUGGGAAGUUAAAAGAAAUUGGAUCGGGUGAGGGCGCGGUACCAGAACUUGCAAACCAAUAAGGCCCUACUGCGGUCGCGGCGGGAGGUGAGGAAGCAGAUGACGUUUUGCAGAACGUUCUCGAGGACUUGGUCCGAGUAGGGGACAAUAUACUCGACAGAGGUACCUACGCCAGAGCCGAAUACUCGAGAGAACUUGGCCGAGAAAGCUGAGUGUUUUUUGGUGACAAAAUUUUCUUCUUUUUUUUUGUGCACUUUCGCUUCUGUGUGUGUACAAGAAACUAGAGAGAACACAGAAGACUAGAGGGGAGAGAGAUAGAGGUGGUGAGGUUUUGGGUUUUGCAAUGACUGUGCACGUGUUUGGUUCUUGGGUUUCUGCAGAUUCACGGUGGAUAUUGUGGUGAGGUUUCACGGUGGUGAGAUGAAAAAAUGAAAAAGAACCGACAUAGUUUUUCGUGUCGUUUCCCACAGAUGGCGCCAAAUGUCACUACUACAAUAUUAGCUUUAGGUGUCGAACGAUUCUGGCGGUUAAUAAGUCAUUCUGAUGGAUAAAAGAUAUCCGACACAUAAUUUAUUUACUGUCGGAUUAAAGUUAAUUUUUGUCGGAUAUAUCCGACAUAAAUUACUAGCGGAUUUAACCGCCAUAAAAUUAUUAUAACUCUCAGUAUUUUGAAUUCUUUUUUUUUUUAAAUAUUUUUAACAUAUUCUGGCGAUUAUAACCGACAUAAAUUGACUAUUUUAUUAUUUUAAAAUGUUACAUUGAUUAAAAUAAAUAAACAAAUGGUUUAAUUUUUUUUUUCACUCACAGUCCCGUUACCUAAUCUCUGAAUGUUUUUUUUUUUUGCAAUUUUUUACACAUGCUAUCUCGGAGUAUAUACAAACAUAUUUGACUGUUGGAUCGUUGAAACUAGUUUCGUAGAAUGCAUAUCCUAUCAAAUUGAUAGAUUUAACAAACACUUAAGAGUUAAUGUUAUACUUCCAUUAAGUAUAAAAAAUUAUCCACUGGUAUAAAUAUUUUAAAUUGAAGAUCGAAUUCGUUCAAUGCAUUAUUAUAGGGUCGAGGAGUGUAGCUAUAAAAAAUCAUCAAAAUCAGAGCUAAAAUAACUGUUAAAUUAUGAUUUUUUGUUUAUAACCAUUGAACAUUUUUGUUUCGUUACCUAAUCUCUGAAUGUUUGUUUUUUACGAUUUUUUACGUAUGCAAUCUCAGAGUGUGUACAAAUAAGUUUGAUGGUUGGAUCGUUGAAAAACGUUUCGUAGAAUGCAUAUUGCAUCAAAACUAUAGAUUAAACAAACACUUAGAGUUAAUAUUAUACUUCUAUUAACUAUAAAAUAAGAUUUUGUGGUAUCCACUAAUGUAAAUAUUUUAAAUUGAAGAUCAAAUUUAUUCAUUGCAUUCUUAUAGGGUUGAGGAGUGUAGCUGUAAAAAAUCAUCAAAAUCGGAGUUAAAAUAAUAGUUAAAUUGUGAUUUUUCUUUUAUAACCGUCGAAAACUUUUGUUCCGUUACCUAAUCUCCGAAUGUUUGUUUUUUAUGAUUUUUACGUAUGCAAUCUCGGAGUGUGUGCAAAUAAGUUUGACGGUUGGAUCGUUGAAAAAAGUUUCGUAGAAUGCAUAUUGCAUCAAAACUGUAGAUUAAACAAACACUUAGAGUUAAUAUUAUAAAAUAAGAUUUUGUGGUAUCCACUAGUGCAAAUAUUUUAAAUUAAGGAUUGAAUUUAUUCAUUACAUUCUUAUAGGGUCGAUGAGUGUAUAUGUAAAAAAUUAUCAAAAUCGGAGCUAAAAUAACCAUUAAAUUGUGAUUUUUCGUUUAUAACUGUCGAAAACUUUUGCUCCGCUACGUAAUCUAUGAAUCUUUGUUUUUACAAUUUUUUACGUAUGCAAUCUUGGACUGUGUACAAAUAAGUUUGACGGUUGGAUCGUUGAAAAACGUUUCGUAAAAUGCAUAUUGCAUCAAAACGGUAGAUUAAACAAACACUUAGAGUUAAUAUUAUAAAAUAAGAUUUUGUGGUAUCCACUAGUGCAAAUAUUUUAAAUUAAGGAUUGAAUUUAUUCAUUACAUUCUUAUAGGGUCGAUGAGUGUAUCUGUAAAAAAUUAUCAAAAUCGGAGCUAAAAUAACAAUUAAAUUGUGAUUUUUCGUUUAUAACUGUCGAAAACUUUUGCUCCGCUACGUAAUCUAUGAAUCUUUGUUUUUACAAUUUUUUACGUAUGCAAUCUUGGAAUGUGUACAAAUAUGUUUGACGGUUGGAUCGUUGAAAAACGUUUCGUAGAAUGUAUAUUGCGUCAAAACGGUAGAUUAAACAAACACUUAGAGUUAAUAUUAUACUAUUAUUAAGUAUAAAAUAAGAUUUUGUGGUAUCCACUAGUGCAAAUAUUUUAAAUUAAAGAUCGAAUUUAUUCAUUACAUUCUUAUAGGCUCGAGGAGUGUAUCUGUAAAAAAUCAUCAAAAUCGGACCUAAAAUAGCCGUUAAAUUGUGAUUUUUCAUUUAUAACUGUCGAAAAUAUUUGCUCCGUUACAUAAUCUUUGAAUCUUUGUUUUUUACGAUUUUUUACGUAUGCAAUCUCGGGCUGUGUACAAAUAAGUUUGACGGUUGGAUCGUUGAAAAAAGUUUCGUAGAAUGCAUAUUGCGUCAAACGGUAGAUUAAACAAAUACUUAGAAUUAAUAUUUUACUAUUAUUAAGUAUAAAACAAGAUUUUGUGGUAUCCUCUAGUACAAAUAGUUUAAAUUAAAGAUCGAAUUUAUUCAUUACAUUCUUAUAGGGUUGAGGAGUGUAGCUGUAAAAAAUCAUCAAAAUCGGAGCUAAAAUAACCGUUAAAUUGUGAUUUUUCGUUUGACCGUCGAAAACUUUUGCUCCGUUACGUAAUCUCUGAAUUUUUUUUUUACGAUUUUUUACGUAUGCAAUCUCGGACUGUGUACAAAUAAGUUUGAUGGUUGGAUCGUUGAAAAAAGUUUCGUAUAAUGCAUAUUGCGUCAAAACGAUAGAUUAAACAAAAACUUAGAGUUAAUAUUAUACUUCUAUUAAGUAUAAAAUAAGAUUUUGUGGUAUCUACUAGUGUAAAUAUUUUAAAUUAAAGAUCGAAUUUAUUCAUUACAUUCUUUUAGGGUCGAGGAGUGUAUCUGUAAAAAAUCAUCAAAAUCGAAGCUAAAAUAACCGUUAAAUUGUGAUUUUUCGUUUAUAACUGUCGAAAACUUUUGCUCCGUUACAUAAUCUCUGAAUCUUUUUUUUUUUAUGAUUUUUUACGUAUACAAUCUCGGAUUAUGUACAAAUAAAUUUGACGGUUGGAUCGUUGAAAAAAGUUUCGUAGAAUGCAUAUUGCGUCAAAACGGUAGAUUAAACAAACACUUAAAGUUAAUAUUAUACUAUUAUUAAGUAUAAAAUAAGAUUUUAUGGUAUCCACUAGUGCAAAUAUUUUAAAUUAAAGAUCGAAUUUAUUCAUUACAUUCUUAUAGGGUCGCGGAGUGUAACUGUAAAAAAUCAUCAAAAUCAGAGCUAAAAUAACCGUUAAAUUGUGAUUUUUCGUUUAUAACUGUCGAAAACUUUUGUUCCGUUUCGAAAUCUCUGGAUGUUUGUUUUUUACGAUUUUUUACAUAUGCUAUCUUGUAGUAUCUACAAACAAGUUUGACGGUUAGAUCAUGAAAACUAGUUUCGUAAAAUGCAUAAGUUUGCCAAAAUUUUGAAGUGGGAAAAGUAAUUUGUGCUAAAUUUUUAUUUAUGUUUUUCUAGUAUUGAUUAGACAAUAUUUAGUUUGUGUGAAGACAUUUUCAUUGUACAAUUCUCUUUUUGUUUUUUUAUCGCAUAUUUUACAUAGAUUAUUAUCUAUUAAACCAAAAAUGUAAAAAUUAUCUAUUAAACCAAACAAUUAUUUAUUUAAAUUUAAAAAACAUAUUAUAUUUAAAUACAUAUUAUUUAUUUAUUUAUUAAACCAAACAACUAUUGACACACUCCGAUCCUAGAAUCAAGGCGUGUUCUAAAUUUUGGGUCGCUUUUCUGGAAGCUCUGAUACCAAACUGACACACCCCGAUCCUAGAAUCAAGGCGUGUUGGCUACGUCACGCUCACGUGACGGCCAGUACGCCUUGAUUCUAGGAUCGGGGUGUGUCAACUAUUAUUUUAUUUUUUUAAAUCGUAACAAAAUUUGGGGGGGGGGGAUUUUGGGGGGAAUGUUGACGCCAUUUUUUUGCUAUCGGUUAAAACCGACAUUAAUGAGAAUUUUCUAUCGGGUUUUUAUUUUUAAAAAACAUUUCUGUCGAUUUUAACCGAUAGUAAUGAACAUUUCCACAUUAUAACCCCUUCAUCUCUUCCUUGCACCCGUGCUUCUCCCUUCCCCAUUUUCUCCUCUUCUCAUUUCCUUCUCCUUCUCUUCUCUCCUCUCCUCAUUUACUUCCACUUCGAACACUUGCAACCAAAGUUCAUUAGCUAUCUCGAAUAUGGCGAAGAAGAAGGUAACACUCUCGCUCUCGCUCUUUCUCUUUCUCUCCAUCUGUGUCUCUCUCUCUGUGUCUCUCAUAUGGCGAAUAAUUUUGUGUCGUUUGUUUCAGUGGGUUGCAAAGCUAUUCGUUUCCUUCUGUUCCCAACAAUAAAGAUGAGAUUUUUCAGCUGCUUUUGUAAAUUACACAGCUACCCAAGACUUGCCCAGUUUGCUAUUUUUGUAUUUUAUCAUGUUUUUGUGAUUUUUUAGUGGAUCUGUCACUCCCAAAUGAUUAUCCAAUGAUUGUAGCUACACCCAUUUUGUCCAUUUCUCCAAAUGGAUCUUGUAUGAUUUCACCUGAUUGUGUUAGAAAUCAUUAGUUUUUUGGUGAAAGAUUAUGUUGGAAAUUAGUGUGAUCAUUUUUACCUUGAGGGAGUUGACCAAAUGUGAAACUAGCUGUUGUGGUUAAAUAUUUGGUGAAUUUAGAUUGAACUUGAAGAUCAUGUAACUCAAGGCAGCACUUGGCCCUCUGUUUGGACGCAAUUUGAAGUACUGCACCGAUGGAUGCCUUCGGAGAUAUUUGGAAGCUCGGAGCUGGAAUCUUGAGAAGGCGAAGAAAAUGGUUGAAGAGACACUGAAGUGGAGGGCAACUUAUAAGCCUGAAGAACCCGUUAGGUAAGUUGGAUGAACUUUUAUGAUAUUCACAAACUAGAAAUAGAUAUAUUUGUAGGAUGUUUGUUUCUCUUGAUACGUUGGCAAUUCUGCUUGAGCAUAAACUAAUCAACGUUUGAGUUUUGUAUAUUUUGUUUUCAUCAAAUAUAUGGCAGAAUCAAAACUUAAUAUGGACUCAGAUGGUGUUCUCCAACCACAUUGCGUGUGAAUUGCGUUCGUUUAAUUCAUUUGCAUCAUCUGCAGCUUACUUCUAUGCAUUGCACAAGCUAUCGCCCGUCAUACUUCUUGCCUAGAACUUUAAGGGCCCUGAAGUUUUCGAGAUCGAGCUCCGGCGAGGUUUUGGAUGAUGAAUGCAGAAAUAUUUUUUUAUUAUUAAUAUAUUUUCUGUCGGUUUUAUGCGACAAGAAUGAUUUUAUUCGUUUUUAUAAUAAAUUAUCUGUCGGAUAUAACCGACAGAAAUACUGUCGGUUUUAGUAUUUUUUGUUGGUUUUAUCCGACAGAUAUUAUAAUAAAUAAAUAUAUAUCCUGUCGGUUUUAAAGUAUUUUUUGUCGGAAAAUUCAUUUUCUGACGCAGGCAAUUAUGUCGCUUAUUAUAUCCGUCACUGUAUCCAUUUUCUGUCGGAUUUUGCUUAAAAUCCAACAGUAAUAUAAAUUUUUUGUCGGUUUUUGAACCGCCAGUUAUAGUUAAUUUUGUAGUAGUGUGUUGAUGCACAAAACCGGAGGUCUUGAAACAACGUAAAUCUGACCGUGAAUCUGCUAGAAAGUAAAGAACACAAGAUAUCGUAGUUCACCCCAAUGUUUGGGCUACGUCCACACUGAUGUUGAUAUUGUUUCACUCUGAAUGGUGAAUAUACAAGAAGGCUAGAGGCAAUGUGCUCUCUGACCUAUUUUUUGUGUUUGCCCUAUCUGAGAUUCUUUCUCUCUUCCCAUGGCCUAAACCUUGACCUCUCCUAAUGAGGAGAGUGAGGAGUCCUUUUAUAGAAUAAGGACUCCCCACUUAUUACAUAUUUGCCCAUUCAUUUAUUACAUAAUUACAUUUGAGUCUCCCGAGUAUUUAUACGAGGUCUAAAUACGGAGGCCCUAAAUAUGGUACAAACAACUUUCAUUUUUGUUUUUUGUUUUUGUGUAAGGACCCUCUGACCGGGAGUCAUGUUCUUCACUUUGUUUUAAAUCUUAAAUCAUCUCCUUUCAUGAAUAAAAUGUCUCUCGUUAAUAAAAAAAUUAUGACAUUCAAACAAAUUGAAAAUUAAUACAGUUAAUUGUUGAAAGUAGUGGACUGCUCUGGUGUUAUUCUUUUGACCCCUUUAAUGAAGUUAUUUUCUAAGCAAAAAUAAAAAUAAAAUUAAAACCAACACGCAAUGUACUGCCACAUCGUCACUUGCACAAGCUUUCACUCAUAACAUGCUCAAUUCCCUUAUCUUUCUCUCCAUCUAUUUCGUAAUUUUUUGUUCUUUUUUUAUUUUCCUCCUUUCUCUCUACUCUCACCCCUAACCACUCUCUCUAUCCCGUCUCCUCUCACCCGUCCUCACUCACCUCUUCCUUUAUGUGUCAUGUCACUCGGUUUGUACUAGGGGUGGGUAUGGUUCCAAUCGGUUCGGUAUUUUGCUAAAAUAAAAACCAAACCGAAUUUUUUAUUCGGUUCCGGUCGGUUCAAAUUUUUUCGAUUUUUAUUCGAUUCGGUUUUUUCGGUUUUUUUCUGUCUGGUUUCAGUUCAGUUCUUUUUUUUUGUUUUUUGGGUCGUAAACAACUGAAAAUCAACCCAUUGUGUAGAGGUUUUAAUUUGAAAUGAAAAAUCAUGCUAGAGCUUAAAUGUUUUAGACUCAAACAAAUUUUUGAAGAUUUCUAACUGUGUUCUGGUGAUAAAAUUCGCUUUGGUUAAGGGGAAUAACUAACAAAGAAGAAUAAAAUUACGAGGUUCCUCAAUGAACGUAAAUAUUCAUCAUCAAUUGAAAGUGGCUACACCAAAAGAAAAUGGCCAAAGAAGAAUAUGUGUCAAGUUAAUUUCCCAUCACCAAAAUUUACGUUCAUUGAGGUUCCUACUAAACCGACCAAACUGCACCGACGGUUUCGUUUGUUUUUUUUUUUGUUUUUUUUUUCGGUAUGUAAACCAAACCUUCCCGUGUGCUUGCUUUUAUUUGUUUUAAUCAUAAUAGACAUACCAUGUACCCACCACAACAAAACAAACACUACAAAAAAUAUGGGCAUUGCACACAAUAAAUUAUUUGUGUCCAUUGAGCCAAAGAGCACCAACAUAUGUGCCCAUAAACCAAUAGCAAUAGUGCGGCAACUAUAAUAUUGUUUGUGCCCUCUAUAGGCAUGUCCUUUGGUAAUAAGGCACAAUAUUGCUUUUGUGCUCCCAAGAGAAAGCAUAAAUGACAACCUAUUUGUGUAUUAAUUAUGACAAGCAUGUCAAAUGAUCUACAAUCAUGCGCACAGUUUUCAAAUCAUGCCCGAUAGGGUCUAUUUAAAAAAUAAAUAAAAAUUUGAAACAAAACAAAAAAUUCUAAAUUUUCAUAAAAUCAACAAAUCCCACAAUAUACAUGUAUUUCAGUUAUUUACAACAAAUCCCACAUAUUUACAACCAAGCCCUCCUGCAUAAUCCUAUCCUCCCCUACUGCAGUCGUUGGACCCAAGUUCUUCAUGCAAUGUAACUUAACCACAUUCCCUUCUUGCCUAUAAGGAAUCUUAGUAAGAAGCCUAGAGUAAGAAAUAUUUAUAAGCAUUCAUUUCAUUAAGAUUAUCGCAUGCAAACCGUUCUCGUCUCCCAAGGAAUUAAGGACAUAAUGACAUUAGCAAUUAUUGAAAAACCAACCUAAUUUGUGCACUCAUAUAUAUUUCCUUUACCAUGAGCCAUUUGAUCAUUCUCCUCAUCAACAAAUAGAUCCCUAACAUUGUUAUCAGUUAUACCAACGAACUUGCCCAAAACUUCAGGGCCAUUAACAAUCUAGCACAGUUCACAAGAACAGAAAUCUCAUCAAUCACCAAUGCAAACAACUAACUUAUACAAGGAUAAGUUGCAUAUCAAAUAGCUUUGGAACCUUAAAAUAAUGUACUAGCAUCAAAAUUAUGUGUUAAAUCGGCAUGGUUCAAUGUUUACAGCUGGCAGAACUUAAUCGAUUCAUUACCUAAGCCUAUUGUGAAAAAUAAGAAUACAAGAUUGUGACAAUGAAAUACCUAGUUCUUAAUUUCAUCUCAGAUUCAUGUGUCAUCAAUUGGUUAAGUCUUAUUUGAAAUUAAGGCUGAAACAUAGAAAAGUAAUCAUUCAAACGAACACAACAAAUUCUUAGUCCUAAGAGAAUUGCAACUCUCAGAGAUUUGAUUAUUAAAGAAAAGGUGGAUCAAACUCCAAACCUUUAGUCCUUUCCCGUUCAACAUCUUUCUGAUUUGACACGCCAUAAGAGAAAACAAAAAGAGGCCAUAAUUCAAAUAACACACUAGUUUGAGAAAAAAAGAAAGCAUCAAAUGUUGCGUAAUGGAUAUGAUCCAAAGUCCAAACGCAUCCAAAUUCAUACGUGCAUAAUGUUCGUUCUUUUUCUUUCUUUUGAAAAUUAGACUCUGAAACUUCCCAAAAUAUUAACACUUUUAAUGAUUUCAUUAAUUGUGUUUAUUAAGCACUAUUAGUAUACUAAUACAAAACAUAGAAAACUAAAUAUCAUGAGUAAAACCUACUUAUAUUUCAUGUAAGGCUCCAAAUACCUUAUGUAGGACUUUUGUAUCUCAAGUAUAAACAUUAGCAAGCUGUAAGAACUUCACUCCAUUUAUCUCAUUCCAUAGAGUACCUAUAACUUUCAACAUCAUAGAUGCACAUUUGUACCUGAGAACUAUUCAGGGGAGCUUCCAUUGUGGGUCGAGUGCCCUAUACCUUUUUUUCAUAGUUCACCAACGAGUUAUCUAAAGAAUUUAACAGCCAAUAUAUAACUUUAUGAAUAAUGAGAAUCACAAAUUUGAUUAUGUAAUGAGCGGUAUAAAUGAUAAAUAUCACAUUAUCAUUCAAGACAAAAAAUAUGAGCCAUUUUUCAAUCUCUUUCUGAAAACUCAAAAGGACUCAAUUUCAGAACGGUUUUUUUUUUUUCCACCCAUAUGCACAUUUUGGGUUUCAUUACUCUCCUCGCAUCAAUUUAAAAGGUACAUAAUUUCCAGUUUCAUAUAUAAAUAAGAUAAUUAUCACAAAUGUUGUCAAUCUAAUCAAAUAAUAAAUGUAAAGACAAAUACCAAAGCAUCUGUAAACAUACGCAGAUAAAAAAAUCCAAUAACAAGACAUACCGCUAUAGGGAAUGCCACACUACAAGGAAAAUUUACGCACGGCCUUGACAUCAUCGGAACAAGCCCAAUGGUAGUGCACACAUUGUAACCUGCAAUUACCGCUUGAUUCACUUUAGAAAUUAAAUGCAGUCUUCCAAUGUAGAACAAUUUUCAAUCCAAAUUAAAUGAGAAACGCUUCACCCUCUCCUGCAGAGUUCCAUCAAUUAGACCCCAACAAAAUUAGCAUAUUUAUGUUUAUAUUACUGAAAAUAUGAUUUUAGCCCUUCCAACUCAAUUUUCUUCAUAUAAAACCCUACAUAACUUUUUUACUCAAAGAAAACCCAAUGACUAGGAUCCACAUAAGCAAAUUCAUUAAUUUCAUAUUAAUUCACACAUUUUACAUUUUUCACAUUCCUAAAAUACCCCUAUUACAUAUUUGAUGUAGACAAUUAAUUGUGAGGAGAGAGUAAAUGAUUUUGCAACAAGAAAAAAAAAGACAUUAAUGUUAAAAAUUUAUUGCAUAUUAAUUUUUUAGAAAGACUUUGAAUUUUCAUAAAACUAUUCGAUUCGGUUUUUUUCACCCUACUCUUGAAUACUUUUGAAUUUAUCCUUUUUUUAUUAAUAUAUUAGAACAUUGUAUUUCAUUAUCUACAUGCACAUUAAUUUACCUACAACAAUUAUACCAUGGGUGUAAUAUAAUAUCUCUUUUUUACAAUGAUGCAAAAUAAUGUUUAUACCAACAACAAAACGUGCCUAACAUAUGUACUAAUACAUGAAAAAUAAUUUACCUAUAUUAAGAAGAAAUGUAGUUCGAUGCAUAGUAUUAAAAAUACUAUGUUACACCCAUGUUUAUACAACAAUAAAAUGUGCCUAACAUAUCUAACAAUACAUGGAAAAUAAUUUACCUACAAGUUAGAUAAAUGUUAUUUGGUUGGGUGUAGUAUAAUUUUUUUAAUAAUUGGAAAAAUUAAAUAUAACUAGGUGCAGUGUAAUUUUUUAUAUAUAAUUAGAACAAAUUAAUUUACCUACCUACUAUUUGAAAUGUUCAUUUCUAAUGAUGCAAAAUGUCACAGCCCGUCCCAAAGUUUUACACUCGUGAUUGUAAAUUGACGGAAUUGCCCUUAAACGUGAUUAAGAUAUGUGAAUUAUAUAUUGGUGAAAUAUAUGUUCCUAAGUUAUUUGGAUAUGGAAUUUUGUGAUUUGGGGUUAGGUAGGACCACACACCUCAAAUCCCUCCCUAUUUCCCGUACCCUGUCUCUCUCUCUCCUCCCUCACAAUCUCUCAUUCUCUGUCUCUCUCCUUCGAACUCAAACGGACGAGACCCAAAGACCGUCGAAACUUCCACCAACGACGGAGUUAAGACCACCAUCAAACUCCUGGAACCUCCACGAUCAUGAUGGUAUCCAUUUCAAGUAAGUUUUGCUUCGGAAAACCCUAGUUUCAAAGUUCCCGUGAAAUGGUACUGUUCAUGAUCUUCUAAAUGACUACGUUUUAGGCUAAAACAAGAUCACAGCGAGCUUAGUGAGGUCCCAAGGAAGCUCGGAGUGCUUCGUUGGAAGUUUUUGGACGUAAGAACACGGAGAUCGACAAGUUCAAAGUUUGGCCGGAGCUUUCGAGGAAUUUUCCGGCGAAUCCCCGGUGAGUUAGGAGUCGAGGUAGGUAUCCAUCUCUUCGUCUCGUCAAGUACUACAACUUUCCUUUUUGUUUCACUCAAUUUCGUUGAGUAUUGAAGAAGUUAUACUCAUUUGAAAAAUACCCAGUUUCCGGCGACCUCCGAGGCUUUCGAGGCAGUUUCCGGCCAAACCACGGCGAACUAGGUGUUGUGCAAGGUACCAUUCUCUUUGUCUCUUCAAGGGCUACAACUUUCGUUUUUGAAUCACUUGAUUUCGUUGAGAAAUGACAAAGUUAUGGCAAUUUGAAAAACUGCCCAGAAACGGCCGCCGGAAAAACCAGUCCGGCGACCCAAGGAAGAAGAAGGUGCGCGUGGGGGCGCGUGGACCCGUGCCUUCCUUGGCGCGUGGGGGCGCGUGCUACAGUAAAAAUUAUUUUAAAAAUAUGGCGACGUCCGUGACGUCGAGUAGAUUGGGACUCCGAUUUGCGGAUCUUCCGAAAUUGGAGUUGUAAGUCCAUAAUAUAGAAUGUUAACCGUCACCUAGUUUUGUUAAUUGACGGAGAUCCGACCGUUGGAUGGUAAUGAAAUUUUAGGAGGUUAUCCUAGAGAUAUAUUGUGGACCUCUGGAAGUUAUGGAUUUAAAAUCCGAGUGGUGGAUCUUCCGGAUCGAUCUACGUAGUGACGUAUUUUAUAUAAGUUAUAUAUUCUAUCACUAUGAAUUCUGAGGUUGGAAUUGAUUAUUGUUUUAGGCGCCGAUCGUCAUGACGCCUUGGCGUAUUGUGCUAGGGAGUUGUAGGGCGAACUCCAGGUGAGUGGGCAGUUUUGUUUUCCGUAUAUAUAUAUACUUGACGUUUUCCCAGAAAUUGAAAUUUAAUGAAAGUAUGCUUUAAAUGCAAUGUAUAAAAUUAUAUGAAAAGUAUAUAGAAAUGUGAAUCGAAAUGCCAUGCAUGAAAUGAUAUGAAAAGUAUGAAUUGAGAUAUGAUGCAUAUGUAUGAAUUGGUGCUGUGGACGCACAGGUGAGUAUAAGGUGAGUAUAUUACUGCUAUGAUGAUGUUGAGAUAUAUUGAGCUCAUAACCUGCACCUUGGUAUUAGUGCUUAUUAUUAUUCACCGCAUCGCAUGCUCACCUUGGAUCCAAGUAGAUGCUAGUCGUACAGACCACCGGGGGUGGUUCCGACAUGCCAGUCGUAUAGACCAUUAGAGGGGUUCCGACUGGUAGGUGACCUUAGAUUAUGUGCACAGAUGAUUGAUGAGAGAAGCACUAGAGCAUAUUAUUCUACCAUUAAGUCGUACAGAUUACAUUAGGUAAUUCCGACUUAUGUGCAGUAUAGUGCCGUACAGGUCAUACUAGGUGACUCCGGCAUGGCCGUAUAGGUCACAGUUGGUAUCUCCGGCUAGAUGAUAUUUUGAGCUCUAGGUUCAACCGUACAGGGCCAUUAGAGGGCCUCCGGUUGAUUACUUUCUUGCACCUGAUAUGAUUAUUGUUGAUGCAUCCAUACUUAACUGUUGAAUUAGACAUGGCAUGGCAUGAUUGAUAAAGAAAAAUGUUGAGAUAGUAAAAAUGAAGUUUUGAGAAUAUAUAUGUAUAUUUAUAUUUUACAUUUCUGGGAAAGUAUACAAGUUUUACGGAGAGGGGUUACAACGUUUUGAGAAAUGUUUGGA